GUGCGCGCAGGCUACCGAGGGGUUCGACACCAAAGGCACGUUUGCAGGCACACCGGGCAUGGGCAGGCUGCCUACCUCCCUCAUCAUGCAGGCAGAUCAAGGAUCGUGUCGCCUGACGCUUCUCCUACUAUCUGAUUGGCCAAGGUCACGACCAGCGCCGACACGGCUUCAUCAGCUUCGGCGCCGACAUCCCAGAGCCCCCGCCUCUGGACCACCAUCACAUCAAGAUCCUUCCUACGCCUCAACACCUUCCACACGGCGUCGCCGACUCGGCCUACUACGUGAAGCUUCUUGGCAUAAGCCUUAAUGGGUCCCCGAUCCGGGGCAUCCAACAGACUAUGUUUGAGCGGCAGCGCGACGGGUCAGGAGGGUGCUUUGUGGACGCCGGCACACAGAUCACCCAUCUGGUGCCGGCGGCGUACACUCCCGCGGAGGAAGCGGUGGCCCGUGUGCUGCAGCAGUGGGGGUACAAGCGCGUGCGCGACCGCGACUUCCACCUGUGUUUCCGGGAGGAGCCCGGGAUCUGGUUGCGCAUCCCGAGGUUGACGCUCGACUUUGAGGGCCCGCCUACUCGGCACGGGGAGCCCACGCGCGCGCACCUGGAGAUCGGCUCCCGGCACCUCUUCUUAAAGGUUGACAACGAGCAGUUGUUGUGCUUUGGCAUAUACCCCACGACCACGGGCCACCCGACGGUCAUCGGCGCCAUGCAGCAGGUGGAUACGCGAUUCAUCUUUGACCUCAGGGCCAACACCAUCACCAUCCACCCGGAGAGCUGUGAAGCCGACACCGAGCCCACCCUGUCCGAGUGGUGACGAGGCUUGUACCAUUCAUUAGCUGCUCGUCAAUCAUUAGUCACUCAUGUUUAAGAUCAUUGUGCGCCAUCCUUAACUGAGUGGCAAAUCAGAAUAUAUAAUAAACCAUGAAUAUUCAUGCAUAGUGUCCUCCCUUUUUUAGUUGAGUUGUAGAUUCAACCUAGACUUGGUUCAUAUCUGCAAAAAAGGUAACCACAUCAUUAAGUUAGUUAGGAUCCGAAAAUAACUCUGGUGUUGGGAACCUCUUGUACAUGGGCCGCCCCCUUCGACCAGCAGAUUCAACGUAGACUUGUUCAUACCAUGCUUCCAGGAAAUUAAACCGGUGGACCUUUCAAAGCCAGUAGGAUGGGUUCAUAUUUCAUUAUCUGGCAGUGAUCCCCGGCAUGGAUUUUGUAAAUUAAACCAUAUGGUAUGAUACGUUUAUUUUCCUUCUAUUAGCAAUUGAAAUUCAGAAGGUAGCUCACACUACCAUCUGAUGACAUAAUAUGCAUUUAUCGUUUGGUAAUUUCCAUGAUGAAAAAGUUCCAUUUCGACAUGUUGGACGUCUCGAAUUCUCAGCACACUGCCUGUGCAGGCCACUGAUUGAAUAAUUUUCCUUUGACUUUGACAAACUUAGAUACUCUGUUGAUGGUGUUAAACAAAAAGAUACUCUGUCGAUGUGUCAAGUAUAUCGGACGCUGCAGCUAACUCAUUUCAGUCUAAUAAUAAUAUCCCAUUCAUGAGCUUGCUAUGAGGCAUAUAAUUUGCCCAUGAGUAUACUCUAGAAAUACACGAGGUUUUCAGAACUAAUUUAUGAGUGGCACUAUUUGGAUCCCACUGCUUAAGCGUAUGGCCUUUGCAGUACAUUAUAAUUCUCUUUCUUGGCAUGUUUGUGCAGAGAAACAUUCAUUCAUGCAUUUAUGCUCCAAAUCGCGGUGUUGGCCAAUCACCUGAAUGGGAGGGACACUCAUGUCCGACAGAUUAAGAUAUACGGGCCAAGACUGUAAGUUGGAUACUGUACAAGCAGCCAACCAACCAUCUGUUUGCAUUCCGUAACACGAGAAUGUAUGGUCAAUUAUUUCUAUGUUUUCCUUGAGGAGUAAGGUUAAAUCCAAGCACCGCCAGUUUAGAUAUAAAAAUAGUACUUAGAUAUUGUAUGUGCGAAUAACAGACAGUUUAUACACACUAAUGACCCUGAUUUAAGUAGUGACUUAGGUCUCGUGGUUUUUACUCAGGCCCUGUUUGUUACCUUGUGUUUCAGGAACCCCGUUCCUCACCAGCAUUUCCACUUCAUUUCCAGGGAAUGCAUAAUGUACUCUAGCGUCAGGUGAGAUUCCCCGAACCCUCGCCGCCUCACUGGGGAGGGAUCAUCCUCGGUCAAGGUGACCUUGAUUGUGGCCUGCACGCUUCAGUACGAACGCCGACAUGAAUUAAGUAGCCGCUGAAGUAUUCUGCCUAUGUUAGUGUGGAUCGAGUUGCCGCUGAAGCAUCAUGCACAUCUACCAUGUAGUUGAUCUUGUAUCCCAUUCCAUCUACCAUCUAUUAUUGGUACAUCCUUUUCAUCCAUGUAAUAUACACCCUCCAUUCCCUUAUACAAAGCCACUUUGUCUUUCGUGUCAAACUUUGAUUUAUAAUUUUGGUCAACAAAAUGUGAAUUAUAUGUCGUAAAAAAUAAAUCAUCGAUAAGUUCUUUGAGAUGUGCAUCCAAUGACAUACUUCUUUGUGACAUAUACCUCACUUUUUGUCGGUAAUAUUAAUGGUCAAAAUUAGAUAUAAAAACAUGAAGUUGCCUUGGAUAAGAAUGGAGGGAGUAACAUUUGUUUUGCAAUGGAUGGGAAUGUUCUCCCAGUACUAUAUGUUUAUCUCAUAUGUUUAUCUCUCCCUACAGCACCCGCCUUACUAAUGCGUGGGAGGCAUUAGUACGUUUUUUCCGUUCCAUUCAGCAACCCCGUUGAUUGGGAUAAACAAGGUGGCACUCUCUCAUAAAUAAUAUCAUGUUUCACACAUAAUAAGCUAAACUCGUACGAGAGGUAUUCCCCACCAUGAUCAGACUGAACUUUUGAUUUUCUUUUCAAGUCAACUUCAAGUUCCGCCUUAUAAAUUUUAAAGUGGUGUAGAGUGUGCCAUCUUUACUAUUUAGCAAACUAGCAAAAUAUAAGUUGAGAGCCACAAAAAUAUAUUACAACUUUUACAGUAGUUGGCAUUUUUUGGAGCCGUUCGUUUGUCUCGAUCUAACGACGCAUACAUACGUAGUACUCGAAAGUACGCGGAUGAAAAUACUCGAAAGUACUAUUAGUCUAGGGGCAUUUUAGUCCUAGGAAAUAUAUGACAAGGUGGGGCCCUCUCGUCCAAUGCAAAACCGCCGCCCCUCUCCUCCAAUGCAAAACCGCCGCCCCUCUCGUCCAAUGCAAAGCCGCCGCCGUGCUCCUUCCCCUCUUCCAUCACCAUUGCAACCGCGGCCAUCUCCUAGCCUUCUCCUCCUUCUCGCGGCCGCAACUUUGCUCUUCUCAUCUUCCACAUCCACCCCCCUCUUCCAUCCACGCAAAAUCCUCGAUGGAGCAGCAGAUCGAGCACAUCGGCGGCGGCGAGAACGCCGACUUCAUGGAGAUCGCCGGCGGCGAGAACGCCGACUUCAGGGAGAUCGCCGGCGGCGACCAGGUCAAGAUGGCCAGGUUGACGGAGAUCCGUUCUUGGUUUCACAACAUAUUGCAGAUGAACUGGACGACAAUGGCCACUUUGAAGCAAAUGACGAGGAGGGAGAGGGCAAAGCUUCCCCCCCCACCCGCACAACCGAUGCACAAGGUCGAGAUCCUCCUCUGGGCGAUGGAGCAGGCCGAUUCGUCCAGCCCGUGGACCAGGCGUAGGUGGUGGGCGUUCAGAUCCAGGGUAGAGCAUCCACUGGAUCAGGAACCCACGGUGCACGAGGUGCCGUUGCAGAUUGUGGAGCCUCCAACCGAGUCGGAGAUGACUCAGAAGCGCAAGAGGAGGAGGACAGUGGUCGCGACAUCGCUUCCCUGCCGUUCUCCACGCUUCCCUCGCCGCUCUCCUCGUCUGAACGGCGGCCGUAGCUAUGUUUAGGGUAAGAUUGCUGAAUUUCAUUCAUCAUUACUUCCCACUUGCUUAAUUUGAUUCUCUGCAAUAUGUUCUUGCUACCUGUGUACUUGAAUCCGUAGCCUCUGGAUGGCAGCUUAGUUUGAUCGACGAGGCUGUAAUGAGUCUAGGCAUAUAGCAUUGCUAUGUUUACUUGCUACGUUUUGAUGUGCUGGAGUGGUAUCCAUGAUAGGAAAUUUUGUCUGUCACCUCAAGAGUUGUGUUCAAAUUACGUGAUGCAAUCUGUGUAAAUUGAACUUGCAAUAUUUUGGCUGCAAGAAGUGCCUCUAGAAAAGUUCAGUACACAGUUUAGAGUGAUAGACUCUGGGUUGACACUGAAAUAUUUCAAUACUGCAAGUUUAGUAGAUAGUUGUAGGCAUUGAAAUAUUUCAGUACUGACAGGUUCACACUGAAAUAUUUGAGUAGUGCAAUUGCAGUACACACGGGUACACACUGAAAAAUUUCAGUAGUGCAAUGCAAUUUCAGUACACACGGGUAGACACUGAAUAUUUCAGUACUGCAGUUUCAGUACACGCACGCAACCCCAGAAAUAUUUUGGUGUAGCAGUUUCUGUACACGCGCGUAGCCACUGAAAUAUUUCGGUGGUGCUGUUUCAGUACAAGCACGUAGCCUCUGAAAUAUUUCGGUGGUGCACUUUCAGUACACGCACGUACCCACUGAAAUAUUUCAGUGGUGCACUUUCAGUACACGCACGUACGAAAUGAAAUAUUUCACUGGUGUUGUUUCAGUACACGCAUGUAGCAACUGAAAUAUUUCAGUGGUGUUGUUUCAGUACACACACGUAGCCACUGAAAUAUUUCAGUAAUGCACUUUCAGUACAGAGAUGUAGACACUGAAAUAUUUCAGUAGUGCCAUGUCGGUGAUCUUGCAUCCAAAUAUUUAGGGCUUCCUAAUGAUUCAGCAAAAAAAAUAGACAUAAGCAGUGAAAUAAUUUUUGUAGGGAUGUUGGCUUACUCAUGUUGCCGUGCUGUACAACCUUUUGCUUCACUUCCUGUAAGUGCUUCUUGCAUGUGCUAUGGCCUACAUGCUGUUUACUCUCAUCACAGCAGUGAUUUUGCAUCUUGCAAAGGUCUUAUUAAUUCAACAUUGACUUCUAUGAACUUUGUAUUCAAAUUCGUAUCCUCCUACAGUUGUUGUGACAGAUUUCCUUGGCAUCUUCAAAUUACCGUACUGUCAUUUUUCCAAUACCAACUGUAUUCAAUCUGAAACUUUCAGUUACUUAUAUGCUACAGGUGGAAUCAUGGAUAGGUUGCUGAAGAUGCUGCGCCUCACAAUAAAAGUCCCUUGCUCAACCUCAACAUCACAAGCUUUUUUGCAUUUCUAGUUGUCUCACUAUUUCAUGUGAUGUAUUUGAAUACCAGAAGUUGUUAUGCAUUACAAGUUCAAUAUGAUAAUUGUAGUACCUGCAGUCUGUGUGUUAUCUGUUUUGUAUGUGUGGGAUCAAAAUCUAAUACGGUUCUCCUAUUUUCAUGGCCUUGAUGCUAAGUUAAGUACAUGCUGGUUAGAGUGAUCGGAGCGAAGGGUGGCGCUGGUGGGAAAUAUUUUAGGGUUUUAUCGUCGUGAUAACCCUAGAAAAUUAAUAAAAACGUCGAAAAUCAAUGGAACUAGUCAUGGAUGCUUCUCAUGUUGGUACAAGGGUGAAGAAAGAAUACAGGUCCAUUUGAAGCAAGUCGAGAAAAACCCAUCCUUCUCAUGUUGAUACAGGUCCAUUGGAAACCUAGCUUUGUUUGUGCAAGAGAUCAUGUGUGCCAAAUUUUGGGUGAUUUGGAGGUGGUCGAAAAAAUCACCGCAUUCCGGAGGGACCAUUUGGUCUAACUUAAGCCAUUUUUUGAACAAAGGUGGUUUUUUCCACCACCUCCAAAUCACCCAAUUUCUCUAUGACACGGUGACCUACAUGUGCCAAAAAUGUCCAUGAAAGAAAAUUUGGAAAAAAUAUAUUUUACAAUGCCCCCCUGAGGUAUAGGCCGAUGUUUUGAUCAGUCAGUCUAGAGGGUAGUAUAAAUUCAAAAAAAUUCAAAACAAAAUAUAAAACCAUGGAAACCUAGCUUUGUUUGUGCAAGAGAUCAUGUGUGCCAAAAUUGAGGUGAUUUGGAGGUGGUCGAAAAAAUCACCGCAUUCCGGAGGGACCAUUUGGUCACUUAAGCCAUUUUUUGAACAAAGGUGAUUUUUUCCACCACCUCCAAAUCACCCAAUUUCCCUAUGACACGGUGACCCACAUGUGCCAAAAAUGUCCAUGAAAGAAAAUUUGGAAAAAAUAUAUUUUACAAUGCCCCCUUGAGGUAUAGACCGAUGUUUUGAUCAGUCAGUCUAGAUGGCAGUAUAAAUUCAAAAAAAUUCAAAAAAAUAUAAAACCUUGGAAACCUCGCUUUGUUUGUGCAAGAGAUCAUGUCUGACAAAAUUGAGGUGAUUUGGAGGUGGUCGAAAAAAUCACCGCAUUCCGGAGGGACCAUUUGGAGGUGGUCGAAAAAACCCGUCCUUCCACACGGACCCUUACCUCCUACCCGAACGGCCACCGGUGAAGGAGGUGAAUUUUUGGACAUGUUAAGAAUAAUUUUUCCUUGUUGUGGGCAUGGCCACCCAAGUGGAUCGACAACGUGCUCUUCUCGCGUCACCUCCGAGAAGUAUUUUACGCAUUUAAUCGUAUUAGAAAAUCCAUACAAAUGCCGACAACCUUACCAAACUAGUCAUGCUUCCUUCUCAUGUUUUGAAUCAAAGAAGUAGAAUUUUUUUGGGUCCAUUUACAUCAUGUCCGGCAAGUUUGUUUGUACGUGUUCUCCGUGUGUGUGAAUGACAUGUGGGAUCCACAUGUAAAAACCCCAUACGCAAAAAAGAGGCCCAACCAAAGUGCCCGACGGAGUUUCGAACCUAGGGCAUUAGUUUGUGAUGGGGAGGGUGUUACCACUGGCCUGAUGAUGCAUUUUCAUACAAAUUACGUGCCCUCAUAUUUAAGAAAUUCAUUUACCAUACCUAUCAUGUGUAACCACUGCUGGUGUCCACGUGUCAGCAGUUUGAAGGGCGGCGCGGGGGCAUAGCGCACGCGAGGUGCAUGGCGCGGGGCAAACCCCACGCGUCCACACUAUGGAAGGCCCUGGUAGGUGAGACAAAUCACCCCCUCGACCCCUCGGUAAGUCCAAGAGGCAGCCGCAUUCAUUUUCUUCCCCAAUUUGGGUAGAAAACCCUCGUCCUCUCCCACUCCAGCCAUACCACCUCGUCCUCUCCCAAACCCUCCUGGCUUCCUCAGCAAUCCACUCCUCCUCCUCGUCUCGUUGACCGCCGAUGAAGCACGGCCGUGAAGAUGCAGCCGACGAGCCGGAGGCAACCAUCGGUGGAGAGCAGUCUGCUGCCGUGGGUGCCGCCGCGGUUGCAGCGGCUAACUCGUCGUAGCGGCGACCGCUGGCGGUGCAGCAACUGCUGUGCCUCCUCCCGCUGCCAUCCCAGCCGUCGAGCUACUAGUCGGAGAUCGUGUGCACGAGAAGGUGGGGGAAUAUCUGGAUGAGGAGACGGCGAGGCUCCAUGAGAGNNNNNNNNNNNNNNNNNNNNNNNNNNNNNNNNNNNNNNNNNNNNNNNNNNNNNNNNNNNNNNNNNNNGCGACUUCGACGAGGAUGUCAUCGACGAGCUGUCGGAGGUACUACUCUGGUUUUUUGAGAUUUAUUUUUCCUUCAUGUACUCUGUUUUUUCAUGGCAUUGGGGUUUUUCUUGUUAAGUACAUGAGAAUCAAAUUCAUAUGGGCGUGCUAGUUGAAAGGAUCUAGCAUAGAUUUUCUUGCAUAAUGAAUGGUGGUUUUUGAAUCUGAAUCAUUUUCUUAAAGUAUUGAUGAGGUAUUUCUACUCAUGUACUGGCCCCUCCAUAAUGUUUGCGUACAUGUAGGAUUGUAGGGAUCUAGCAUAGAUUUUCUUGUUGGAUGGUGAUUUUAGAAUCUGAUUCAUUUUCUGUUCGAAUAGACAGAAGAAAAAAACCCACUAGUAUAGCUAAAACUCCAUCAAGCAGGCAGAUGAUGCAUUUGCAAUAUAAUGGCAAUUUACUGAAUUGACACAGAGUUGCCAUACUGAUCUCACCCAUCGACUCAUGUUCUUCUUAACUAUCAUAUGAUGCAUCUACAUUCAGUUUUAAUUGGUAAGAAUCCUGUUCUGGCCACUUGACUAUUUCUUUGACACCAUUUCCUGUUUUGGCAAUUGGUCUGCCUUAUUGCAUGAGGACAGAACCAAUACCUGAUGCAUCUGUUUAAAAAGUAAAUGGUAGGGUCAAAUAAGGCAAAGCCAUAACAAGAGCAGUGACCAGACAAUUCUUCAAUGUUGUGAAGGCCUCAAUUUGAGCAUCUGACCACUGGAAUGAAUCUUUUUUUAGACAACAUGCCCUAAAUACUCAACUUGUAUUUGUAAAACUAGAAUUCAAUUUCUGAAUCUUUUUUUAGACCACUGGAAUGAAUCUUUUUAGCAUAUAUUUGUAAAACUAGAAUUCAAUUUCCAAUUCCAAUAAAUAGACAAAAAACACUUUGUUUUGCAUGACAACAUUUCCUCCUCCAAGUUAGGUUGCUCCAAAGUAUUUUCCUCACCGGUAUCAUUAGAGUCACAAGAUAAGGGAUAAAGAUAGUAGCCCAUAGCUCCUUUGUAACUACCGACGACUAGACAGUUGGAUUUAACCCUAACUAAUUGCAUAUACCAAUUGAUGAGAGGCGUCGUAGCAAGGCAUUGCAUUCCACUGUGAUAAAGCUUGGUCUAUUUUGACAUUUUGAUUAUGUCGUAAAUCUAGUAUCGACGCAUCACUUGACGAGCACACUGACAUCAGUUUAAUGUCAAAUUAGUCGUACGAAAUGACAAAACAAUCUCUCUCUCUCUCUCUCAGAUAGAUGAAAUCGAGCUGUAUGGGCUGUAGCGUAGUUCUGCAUUAUGCGUUGACUUGUCAGUGUGCUCUUGGCAUUUUCAUCCAUACUAACAAUGUUGGAGAAUUAGUAUUGCUGCUCUCAGAAAGAAUUAUGGUUUCUUGAUUCCAGUAGAUAGAAGAAACCCCCGAAGCCUUUUUUCUGAUUCCAAUCAGAAUUACACCUGUAACAAGUAUCAAGUAUCAUUAAACCAAGCCACAUUAUGAAUUCUUUCAUGUGUUAAUUAUGUACUUCUUGUGCACUAAUCUAUCAAUGCAACUAUUCCACCGUCCAUAUUUAUGCAUGUCAAAUUAUUUGGGUCAAUUAUGUAUGUGCAUAUACGCCUUAUUUCAAGCAAAUAGAUAGUUGUCAUGUUACACGUCUGUACUUUUCAUACAUUCUAAUUAAGAGCAAUGUAGCAGAAUAGGUUAACUGAGUUCUUCUUUAUGUACUAAUUCACAGGAGGGUGACGAUGAUGUGGGGUAUGACAUGGACAGCAGGCACAGCAAGAGCCGCUACAUCAUGAGGCAGCUGAUUGCUGGAAAAUUCAAGUACCGUUUCUAUGGAAAGCUUGGCUGCCCCUUCUGUGGCAAGGCGAUCAAGGGCGGCAUAGAUGGCUUGAUGCAGCAUGUCGUCUCCACUGGCAACUCCUACAGUAGGAAGCAAAAGGCCAGUACUCUAGCAAAACAUGCGGCCUACGGGCGCUUCCUCAAGAUUGUCAAAGUCAAUGAGCCCUACUACAUCCCGCCGCGCCGCCGCUGAACAAGGGAGACAAGUGAUGUGCUGCUAGACUGUUGUUGCUGCCCCAGGACCGUCGUGUCCUUUUAUGUUAUCGGUAUUCGCUGGUCGACUCUAAAACUUAUGGUCUAUGGUGUGUAAGAACUUAUGUCCUAUGGUCUAUGGUGGGUGUGAACUUAUGGUGUGCGGUCUACCGUUUAACUAAGUGUUUUCUGCUAAUCUGCUUAAGUGUGGUCUAAGUUGUUAUUAGUACUAUUUUGCUGAUGCAUGUUAGGUAUUGUACAAUGGUAGAUGCUAAGGGUGAUGCUUAGAAAAAUAAACCGAGUUUUUCUGAAGCACCAUUGCCUAUUCCUACCGGACAGACGCCUAGUUAAGCAUCUACCCUGUACAAAUAAGCACCGGUGCUUAAGAAAAGCCUGGUUUAUCUCUCUAAACACCUCGCCUAAUCACCUUGCAUUGUACAAGGCCAUAGCAACUCAAGUAUCGUACGGUGGUCUAUGUUAUGUUUGCUGUGUUAUUCUUCCGUUCUAGAAUCGUACGGUGAUGCAUGCUAGGAACUCUACUACAAUGACUAUGGUAGUUAUACCUUGGCAUGAUUAUGUUCAGUUUAUAACUCAGGAUGUUCCAGCCAUAUCUAUGACCAGUUACAACUGAACUAUGCAUUAGUUUUUGCCAAAAGUAAAGCAUGCAAAUGAUUGCCAAUUCUACCUAUUGCCAUUUAAAGCUUUGUACUGAGGAUGCAUUAGUUAUUGCAAUAAGUAGAGGAUGCUCAUGUUUCCCAGAAGUGCCUGUUUCCACUUUCUGUAAGAACUGAACAUGUAUCAAAUUAUGCUAAAAGUAGACCAUGAGCAUGAACAUGUAUCAAUUGCUGCUUCCUAUUUGUGUUUGAAUGGGCUCAACAUAUCUUGUGAUGGUUUAGGGUCUCUGCGUGACCGUGAUGAUAACUCAAGAUGUUCCAGCCAUAUCUAUGACCAGUUAUAACUCAACUAUGCAUUAGUUCUUGCCAAAAGUAAAGCAUGCAAAUGAUUGCCAAUACAACCGUAUUGCCCGUUCAAUUUUUGUACUGAGGAUGCAUUACUUAUAGCAGUAAGUAGAGGAUGUUCAUGAUUGCCAAAAGUACAUAUAUCCACUUUAUGAUAAGAACUGAACAUGUAUGAAAUGAUGCUAAAAGUAGAGCAUGAGCAAGAUCAUAUAUCAAUUGAUGCUACCUAUUUAAGUUUGAAUGGGCUCAACAUUUGUUUGGCUAUGGUCUUGCUGUCAAAUUUAAGUGGAUCAUUUAACAUAUGAUCCACUUAUGAGUUUAAGCACACAACCUAUUUGGUCAUGCAUAAAAUAAGCGCAGUUUAACAAGGGUAUCCAAUUGCUUAACCACGUGAAGUUGUGCAAACCCUAUGAGGGUUCAACUACUAAGAGAGCGGCCGACAACGAUUAAAAAAAGCUACGAUCAGGAAAUACCUUCUCUCGGAGACGUCGGCAUCGAGUUGAUGGCCGCGUAUAGUGCAUGGCAAACUAGAAGUGCCCAUAUAGCGCGGUAGACGGCGUCAAGGAUAUACGACGGGUUCACGCGAGGACGGGGCGGCGAGAAGAACACUGAUGUCCGACCCCUCACGGCGGUGGGCGGUGGCCGGCAACUCCUGUAAUCCGUGUGAGCCCGGGUCUCCGAUCUGAUCUUGCAGCGGUCGUGGGAGAUGCAGAUGGCACGACCGGGUGGUUAGAAUGAGGCGCUGUAAUCGCGAGAUUUCAAUAAUAUCACAAUGAUAUCCCAAAAGAUCUAGAAAAUAUUGUCCUUGUUUUUUUAGUAUUAACAAUGGUUUCUUCGUGGCACAUAUGCCUGAAAAACGCCAUACGUGACAAAACUUGCAAUACAUGUUGAAAAUGGUCGACAUUGUACUAAUGAACGAAAAAAUCACGCAUGUGACGAAACUUCCAAAAUUUGUUGAAGAUGGUUGAUUUGGAGAUGUUCUACAAUUUCACUGCAAUAUUACAUAUUUAUUUUAUAAUUAAAAUUCAAUGAUGCAAGGUUUUACAUGUUUUUCAAUUGUUUUCAAACUUAAACUUUUUACACAUGUCCAAGAAAGGCAAUGUGACAAGGUUUUACAUGUUUUUCAUUGUUAUCAAACUUAAACUUGUCACAUAAGACACGUGUACCUAAAAAAAGGAAGUGUUAUUUUAGUAUAAGUCAAAAUGUCUCAUAGGCAAAAAAAAUAUUUCAUAGAAAAAAAAGCCCACCUACCUAACAUGAUAUUUCACACACCACAGCCCGCAUACGAUUACAAACCCAGUGAUAUGGGCCAGGAUGCAGGCCCGUGGUGGGACUAAACUCAGACGCAUGCGCACCUAGCAGUGCACAGAGCGCGGUUGCCACGACGGACUGCAACUGCGCCCCACCACAACUACCCCCACGUCCUAGACGAACUGCCUCCCCCACGUCCCCAUCCCAGGCGUGAAAAAGCCCCAAAUCGACUACAUCACUGCCUCAUUCUGAGAACCUCCAUUGCCGCUUCCAUCUCUUCUGCAAACAACCCACAAACAUCUCUCUUCGAAGCCUGCAGUCACAGGAGGAGGGCAAUGGCGGAGGAAGCGCCUGCCAAGCGUCAUUGUGGCCAGACGUCCCACCAGAGCGGCAACCUCGGCGUCGUUCACGUUCUCGGUCAGAAGCGCGAGUACACCGUAACCCUCACAGGGGUUGAGCUCCACGACAAGGAGACGCUGGAGGUCGUCUGCACCAGGGAACCAGACAAGGCCGACGAGAUGAUCUCAAGGAUCAGGAGGAGCGCCUGCGGCUUGUACCCCCACAUCAUGGGCGUUGAUGUGGAGUUUACCAAAGAUGAUGAACCUCCGCAGAUGGCAGCAGUUCUGCAGAUCAGCGUGGAAGGUCUCUGCCUCGUGUACCACAUUGCUGCGGCCACAAAAUGGUGAAGUAUCCUACUCAUUCACCCUCUUCCAUUCAUCAAUACUGCUCCCUCAAAAUUUCAUUAGACUAGUUUCAUACUAGAUGUACUAGUGUAGUUUGUGAAAAUGGAUGCACUAGUGCAGUUCCUCAAAGUAGAUGCACUAGAAUAUAUUUUGACCCUGAUGCACUUAGUAUCUGAAACUGUUGCACAAGAUUAAUUUGUGAGGUUGAUGUACCAGUGUAGUUUCUCAUCUUGAUUCAUUAGUGUAGUUUCUGAACUUCAUGUAGUGAAGUAGUUUCUGAACUUGGUCUGGUGUUAUUUUCACCACCAAAAAAACUUAAGAACUUGGUGAAGCAGAGGUAUAUGUUAUUUUAUUCAAAAUAAUAAAACUAAACUGGCACUAAGAAAGCAAAUAGAUCAUUGACUCAACUAUAUAUUCCGAAAAGAAAAAUAACAUGGUGUACUUGAUUUUAAUUUCAGAACUUUGUGUACUAGUUUCUGAACUGCAUUCAUCCAUGACUUAUACUGUAUAAGCAUCUACUCCAUGCAUUAUUCACUUGUAAACCGUAAAAAUAGAAGAUUAAAUCUUGAAAAAUAAACACUAGUACUCCAUGUAUUCAUCACUUGUCUCUCCCCUAGCAGGCCAAAUCGCCUCAAAGAGCUCCUACAGGAGGAGAAGUUGUUCACCUUUGCCGGUUUCAGCAUUAAAAAUGACAGGGACAAGCUGAAGUUGUCUGGUUUGGAGAUAAACCCCAACAAGCACAUCGACAUUCAGCGCAACUGGAGAGUUCCAUACAACGGAAAACUGUACGACUCCUUGGCUGAUGUUGCAGCCAGCGUCAUCCACCCAUUCUACAGAAAGAUGAAGCAGAAGAUCGAUAGGGAGGCAGACCAUAAACUGUGGGGGGACAGCCCACUUCCAAAUUACCUCAUCGAGUACACAGCAAUAGAUGCGUACGCCACCUACAAGUCGUGGAAGAUAAUCGACAACAUCAAAAGAGGUCUGGAAAUUUCAAAAGAGCAGGAAGCGGACCCCUACUACCACUGCCACUAUGCGGGAUGAGGAGACAUCAAAGUCUGCCUUCGUGUUGCUUGCGCUUGUGCUUGUCGUUUAUCUUGUUAUUUGAAAUUUGUAGUUUGCUUUUCUUGGGUUAAACCAGCUUGUUUAUGUCAUGUGUGUCAGAGUUGAACCAGUUUGUUUAUGUCCUGUUUGUCAGGGUUGAGCAAGUUUGCUUAUGUCAUCAAGUACAUAGUUUGCUUAUCUCGUUAAAUAAGUUUGCUAGCUUCCUAUUUCGUUUAUCCAUCAAAACAAAUAUUCAAGUAAAUUGUGAAUGGAACUUUGUGGCUGCUCUUCAAUACUCCCUACGUAAACUAAUAUAAGAGCGUUUAGAUCACUAUUUUAGUAAUCUAAACGCUCUUACAUUAGUUUACAGAGGGAGUACUAGUUAUCAAUGGAACUAAUCACAGAAGGUUGUGCCAUGUGUAGUUUUGGUUCAGAAUUGUAUGGAAAAGUAAACAAUUACUACAAUUAGAACUAAACUCCAUUAACCGAACCUACGAAAAAAGGUCCCCCAACCCCCCAGCUUUAUACUAUAAACCAACAGCAUCGAGCAUCCAACAACAAGUCAAGAUAGAUUCAAGUUCAAGGAAGUCUCCAAUAACCGCUGGGGCAACAACAAAACAAGCCCCAAACAUAACAAGUUCAUUUCACAGCGAUACAUGGCCCAUUUACUGAACCUAGAUAUAUAUAGAUAGGUACGGUAAUACACGGCAAGUACUCGGAAACAAGAGCUAUCAUACCAAGUUCAUUUCACAUCGAAACAUGGCCCAGCCGGUUCUAAAUGAGGUUAAUGGUGAUCAUCAUCCUCAAGUCACGGCGACGGGUGUUCGCAACAGUGAGUAGGAUGCCCUGACCUACCCAAAGAUUCUUGCCAUGAAGGAACUUCCUCCACCCCGCCCGGUUGAAGACAGUGCGACUGUCCGUGUCCACUACGUAGGCACAGGUGGUGAUGGAGCCCGUUCUGGUAAGGCGUAGUCCAGCAGUCAUGCCUUCUUCAUGCGGCUCGAUGCCACAGCUAACAGAUAACCUCUUAGGUAAUUUCUGAAAAUAGUUGAUAUGAUAUAUGAGCAUGUCACGUGCAAUUAUCAGCAAAUCAUGCACUUGAAGACACAUAUAUCAUUGGAUUCAACACUGAGCAUAUAUAUCAUCACAUCACUACACUAGACGCUAAUCAUCAAAUUACUACAGUAAUUAAGCAUAUCAUUAUUUACUACGUACACUAACCAUAUCAUCGCAUAUUACUACACUACAUAAGGAUAUAUCGCAUUACUACAACACAUGCAUACCAUAAAAAAUUCUGCACUAAAUGAAUUCUACACAUGGCAUAUCAUCACAGUACUACAACAUGCAUAUCAUAUCAAUUAGUACACUUAUUAAGCAUGCAUAUCAUGUAAUUACCACAGUAAGUAACAUACCAUGAGAUGCUGUUUAACAUUCGUCCUUGUGAGGCGGGUCACGAAUGGCAUCCCGACGUAGUCUUCACGUAGCGGAAGCAUGUCCCAGAGGUUGCACGUUUCAUCGCCGCUCAGCCUCAGUCUUUGGGCAUAGAGUGCUUCAUCAAGUGGGUUCUCAUCAUCAUCUGAAUCCUCACCAUUGUCCUCCUCAUGAACUUCAUCCUCACUAUCGAAAAUCAAAUUCAGAUAGAUAACAGAAAUCCUGGGCCUUUCUCCUCUGAAGGAGAAGCUGAUCAAUUCACCCCCACUAAGAUGCAAGCGGGCGAUGAAACGAUCCCAUUCAUCUCCUCCAAUCUGGUUUAUUGUUCGCCCCUUAUCGACCUGCAUAGUGUACGCCCCCCGAGAGCGUCGAAGGUCACGGUGUCUCCGACGAGCUCAUUGAAUGCCAAUCUCACAUUGCAUGGGACGAUCUGUGCAAGAUAAAAACAAAUAACAAACACAAUGCAUUAGUGGAAAUAGCAAUAAAAAACAAAAUUAAUGAACUGUCAGAAGGUUCAUAUAAAUUGUUACCGCUGCAAAAACAAAAGUAGGCUGGAAGUAGAUGCCGAACAGCGUGGCAGUACAAAGGCUGGUCCGGCACCGUGACUUGCACCGUCGACACGGUGCUUCCUCCAUUCUACACAGAACAUGUUGAACUCUAAGUUGAAUUGUACGCUACCAUAGUACAAUACAAAGAUCAUACAUAUAAUAAAUCAUAGUGAUAACCUAAAAUGCAAUGCCUAUUAAAUCUGUUUACUAUGAUCUACCUGAAAAAGCAAUGCCAAUGAAAAUGGCAAUGCCAGUAUCAUCUACCUAAUAAAUCCCAAUCAGAUCCAAUCCAAUGUCAGUACUACAUACUAUAGUGAAGAACGGAUGAAUUAUUUUGAUUUAUUUUUUCACACAUAGGGCCUCAUUUUGAUUUGCACAGGGCCUCUCUUUUCCCUGGUACGGCUCAGAUCCUACACUACGACAUCCAUCAAUCUAUCAAAGAACCAUGAUAUCCAUCAACAAAUCAUCUACCGCAUGUAUCAAAUAAAAUUUCUGGAUCAGAUCCACGCCCGGAGGGAGACGCAUGCGGUUUGGGAAGGGAAGAAGAUUCGCGAGGGGGAUGAGGGGAGAUCUCACCUACUUGCCGGAGUUGGCGGCGGCCGCGUAGAUCCGGCGGCGAAGAGAGGCGGUGUCGGGAGCUGGCGGCGGCCGCGCUUGUCGAGAAGGGGACGAAGAAGUUGAAAAUGAUGUGGAGUACUAGGUGCACUUAGCCAAAUGUGGUACAUGUGGUGGCGCAUUUGUGUGGAUGACAAGGGGACCCCACGUGUCGGUACCCAUAGAAAAAAUUGCAUUUCCAACUGCCUCACGGGGAUUCGAACCAGGGCCAUGCGGGUGUGUGGUAAAGGGUCUAACCAGUUCGGCUGAUGCAGUGUGUUCGGCUGAACCAAUUUGCCUCUCCUUAAGACAUUUAUCCAGACACAGACACAUGAAAAAAACCAUGCACCGAGGCAGUGCUCCAUGUGUGGCAUAAGUGGUCCUGUGAAGCUGCAACUAGGACCAAUGUUGAUAUAUGUUGUUAUUAGCUAGGGUACCAACACUAUAUAAUGGCUUAUGUGAUCCUUGCUAGUAAAAAAACCAUUAUCCAUGUUGGCCCAAGUGGCACGUUUGAGUGCAAUGUGUCAAUAUUGGUGCAUUUGGCCCUUAUGGCAUCCGUGAGUCCAAAGAGACCAUGAUUAGUGAAAACACAUGAAGAUUGCUACAUGACGGGCCAUUGGCGUGUCUUGGUAUGCACUGUGCGUGCAAUGUGACUACGAAAAGUUGUUGCAUGUCAAGACGUAGUUUAUCGGUGCAUGUGGAUCCUAUAGGCUUAUUUGUUCCUUGUUUGUGGGCAUGGUGCGUGUUGGCCCAAGUGACAUGUGUCAGUGCAUUAUGACAUCUAUUGGUGCAUCUGGCCCUUAUACCAAUUAUUUGUGCAAAGAUAUCAAGAUUGAUACAUGUCGAUCCAUUGUCGCAUCUUGGAGUGGAAUGUGACUAGAAGAAUUGGUGAAUGAUUUGGACCCCUUAUGGCAUGUAUCAAUCUAAUGAGACCAAUGUUGUUGCAUGUUGGUCAAGAUGGUAUCGACACGUGCAGUGUGAAUAUUACUGGUACAUGUCCAUCGUUAUAGCUCUGUGUGUCGAAGGAGAACAAUUUUGGUGCAUGCUCUUGUGUGCCAAGAUGUUAUGUGGGAACAAAAAAAACUGUGAAUAGUUCAUUUCUGUGGGCCCAGAAACAAUGAGAAUUAUUUCUGGAGUACCUAUUUGUAAAUUUUGCACAGUUCUAGCUGGGUGCUGAUGUGGAAUGUGUUUUUUCCUGCGGUGCACUUACAAACUGGACUCACUUGUCACAAAUCAUGUCAACCCACCCAAAAUGGCGGAUUAGACCUAGCUGCAACAAAUUACCCCAAUAUGUGUUCUUUUGUGCAACAAACCUGUAAAGUAGGUGUUCUAUGCAAAAGUAACACCAAAAGUACGUAAUCUGCGCAAUUUCCUCGCUAAACCAUAGGUCAAAAAAUAAAAAUAUACAAAUUCAUGACAAAAAUUAAAUGAAAGCAGUUGGGGCGUGCACGAGCGCACGACGCCACGCGUCUAGCCUCGGUAACUCCAAACGUCCACCCCCACACGCCAAAUAAAGGCCGCCUCCCCCACCCCCAUCUCCCCCACCCCCCACCCCUGCUGCUUUUCUUCCCCAAAUCAGCAAAAACCCUCUCCUCUCACCUCGAACCAACCUCCUACGAGCCAGCAACCACCUCCCUUGCCCUUCGUCAUCGGAAGAUGAAGGCCGGCCGUGAAGACGCGGCGGUGGAGAAGGACGCAGCGGUAGAAGCAGUGGAGAAGCCUGUUGUGGUCAUUGCCGCCGCGGUUGGCGCGGCCGAGGGCGCCGUCGCGGCGACGGGAGGUGGUGCACCAUCUGCUGUGACUGCUCUGUCCGCCGUUGCAGCGGUCGAGCCUGCGGUCGGCGAGCAGGUGGAGGAGGAGGUGGCGGUGGAUCUGGAGGUGCAGAGGCUCAAGCAGAAGCGCGAGCAGUACGAGUUCAUCGACAAGAGCUACGAGGAGGCCUACCUCGACGCUCAGGAAGUGCAGGAUGAGGCCGUCGAGUUCGACGAGGAGGUCGACGACGAGCUCUCGGAGGUACUACUCUGUUCUGUUCUUUUCUCCUACUCUGUUUUUUGGGUUUUCUCCCUUGUGGUUUUCUCCUGAAUUGCAUGCAGCACGGAUUAGAUUUCGUCCAGAUAGGUUAUGUUUCUUGAUCUCUCCCUUAGGGUUAGGAUUAGUACUAGUUGUUUCGUACAUUUGGAAGGAAACCCCUUCAAUCUGAAACCUGGCAUGGAACAGUAGUCAUGUAGGCCUAAAAUCCCCCUGUGCGUGCAACAGUAGUCAUAAUCAGUUCUGCUGUAGAAAACGGUGUAUUUGUUAGGCAUCACCUCUUUGAUUCGUACGAUUUCCAAAACGCAGGAUAGGGAAAACGUGGGAUUAGAGUGGCAUGUCAUCUUGAAUCCUACAGGAUUGUAUGAGUGUUUGAUUGUGCAUACUAAAAACGUAGGAUUCUUUCAGACAGGUUUGAGUGGAUGGAAAAUUUCCUACAAAUUUGUUUAUUUAAUGACAGUAAAUAAGAGGAUCAAUGAUUAAUAUCUAGAACAUGAAAAGUUGACAUGCAACAGUAAAUAAUUAUCAACAUUGCUUGAGCUUCUAUAAAUGGUAACUUUUAAAACAUGUACUCUAGAAACAACUUUGAAUAUUUGCUGUUGGAUGAAGCCAAUCCAACGGUGGACAGAUGGGAAAUCCCAGCAUUUUUUGCCAUUCGAUAUCUUAUUUACUACAAAAGAAAAAUUCCAAGCAUGCGUACUAUAUAGAAUAUUCCAUUUGUAAGCUCAAGCACAAUGCUACCUAUGCACAAACAACCUCAUAGCACUAUGUUUCUCCAUUGUUCUAGAAUCUUGGAUACUUUAACAGCGGAAACUCUUUUCUUCUAAAUGAAUUGCUAAUGCUUUGAACUUUGUGAAUCUGAAUGCAUAAUAUGCACAAACAUUAUCACUUUAUUAAAGAAAACACACAAAAAAUCCAAUGCUAUAGUAGCAUAGCAAUGUAAGUGGACCUGAAAUAAUUGACAUUAACUGUUGCUUUCAUGCACAAUGCACGUGUGCCUCGCUAGUACCAACAAGAGUAUCAAUGAUGAGAGUUUAAAUCAGUACAACCCCUGUUACAACUAUGCUCUGUUCCUCAAUUGUGCAACCCAUUAUCUGGUUUUGCUAUUCAUGAAACUAUGCUCCGUUCUUCAAUAGUGGCAACCCAUUAUCUGGUUUUGGUAUGCAUGAAACUGGGCCACAUCAUCGAGUCAUGCAUCUGGUCAGUACUGAUGCAUGCAGUAACAAUUUACGGCCACUGCCUGCCAUUAACAACAAACAUGGAUUAGUUCUUCUCUUGCACAAAUCAAUCCAUGAAACUUUGCCACAUCAGUAAUCAUGCAUGCCAAGUCCAUGCAACAGUACAUUUCUAGCAACAAGAUUUUCUAUUGCAUUCUUACUAUAUAGAAUUUUCCAUUACUAAGCGUAAUCAUAAUGCUCCAUAUGCACAAAGCUGAUACCACAUUUUCUCCUUUCUUAUAGAAUCUUUCUUACCUUAACAGUGCAAACUUUUUCUAUCUGCUUCAUGAUUUCCAUAUAAUGAAGUGGACUAUACAUCUUAUUUUCAAUCUGAUUACUAAAUCUGUUGAGACCUAGUAAACAGUACAUUUAUUUAGUUGUCAGAAAAACUGGUUUAUUUGAUGAAAAUCAUGAAGCCAUACAGCUAUAUUGUGAAGACAUUUUCUGAUUGCAGUCAGUAAUUCAUUGCAGAGUUUCUUAUGUACGCACCCUAUGUAAUUAUUAGCAACAAGGAUGAGUAAUUAAAGCCAUAAUUUCUUAUGUUCGCAACCGAUGUACCUCAAUCCAAAAUUUCUCUUUUUUAUACAUAAUUCAUGACCUCAUUCAUAUGUUUUGUUGUCUUCAAAAUAUCAAGUGAGGGCAAUCUUUUGUUUGUUGAUGCGGUAGUUUUACUUUGUAGUAUGUACUCAUCUAGUUUGAAUAUCAUUAAAUUAGAUAUUGUCUGGUAUCUCUUUAUGAUAAAACCAGAUCAUACAACAUAUUGUUGCAAGAAAUGGCAAGAAAUGAUCCUGUUUUUGGAAUUAUCUAUUUUCAGUAUGAACUAAAAUAUGUGCUUGAAUGCAGUAAAGUGAUUUGUUCAUACCGUAAAACCUGAACACUUUAGUUAAUUGUCAACUUAGAUUGUACAAAUAGGAGUACUUUAGUGGGGAGAACAGCUACGCAUGCAAAGCAAAGAAAAAAGAACAAGAAAGAUAACAAAUAAUACAUAAACAUAUAUUGCAAUACAUGAGGUACAUGUUGUGUGAAUCAUCUGAUUGAUCAUAUUUUUGUAUUCCUACUUUAGGAAUGUACUUGAUACUCUUAUGAAAUGCUACAUUUCUGUAUUCCUAAUCUGACAUAGCUGCCGAUCAACUAACACACAGGAAGAUGACGAAGACGUGGAUGAUAGUAAGGAGAGCAGGGACAGCAAGAGCCGCUACGUCCUCAGGAGGCUGCGGAAUGGGGAAAUCCCAUACCGCAGCGGAUACAACAGGCUCUAUGGCAACAUAGCCUGCCCCUUCUGCUGCGUGAUUAUCAAGAGCGACUACGAUAGCCUGAUCAUGCAUGGCACCUAUAUCGGCUGUGGUAAUGGGAGGAACCGCAAGCCCCACGUCCGGGCUAAACAUGCCGCUUUUGGUGCCUUCCUCAGGAAGUACGCGAAGGGGCAUCUGCCAUUCUACCUCCCGAGGCCUCCUCGUCCGGCCAAGAUGCCGAGGAUCUGAUGCGCUGCUUGGUUGUUACUGCUGGCCCACCCUAGUUAAGACUGUUUUUAUGUUAUGGUUGUCGUGUGAUACUUCUGCCCCACCGUACUGCUUGAACUUAUGCGCCGGUUUAUCUUUUGGGUUCUGACUGUUUAACAUGCUAUGUUUAAGUACAUUGCUCAUUUCUUGUAAUGGCCAACUUGCAAUGCUACAUGCUUAGGUACAUGCUAACAAUAAUAAACAUGGUUUUCUGAAGCAGCAGUGCCAAUUUGUACAUGAUAGGCGCCUAAUUAAGCGUCUACCCUAUUCUAAUAAGCAUCGUUGCUUCAUUAAACUAUUGUUUAUCUUGUUAGCACCUACCCUAAGUGCAUUGCGGUCAACCUUGCCUAAUACCUCCACUAUGGUGAUAUAUGGUACAUAUAUGUUAUGACUCUAACUGAAGAUGCUAAUGCUAUAUCUUGCACUGAAUUUGGUAUGUUUAGAAAUAAUGACAUUCAAGUUAUUUCUAUGGACAGUUAAACCAUUAUAAAUGAGCUUGUAUUAAUAGCUGCCAAAAGUAGAGCACACAAAUGUUUGCCAGGAGUACAUACUGCCAUUUGAAGCAAAACAAAUGAGCAUGCAUUAGUAAUUGCCAGAAAUGUAGCAUGCACAUGAUUGCCAAAAGUACCUAUUGCCACUUUUUGACAUGCACUUAGGUUGUACUAUAAGAUAUUGCCAAAAGUACAUCAUGCAAAUGAUUGGAAGAAUGACCUAUUGGCAGUUCAACCAAAAGAACUGAGCAUGCAUCCCUAAUUGCCAAAAUUACAUAAUGUUCAUGAUUGCCAAAAGUAUGUACUGCGACAGCAGAGAUUGCUAUAUUGUGGUAUGUUAUCAUACCCUACUUUUUACGGUCUUAGCUGGUGUUAGCAAGCCAUCUUUCACCGCUCGUCGAUGCACGUUUGAUAAAGUUCAAUCACCAAAUCGUAAAUGACAAAUGUAUCAUAAGUAGUGCUAACUACAGUGGUACCCAGUACGUACCUAAACUACCAUUUGGUUAACUUGAAUGGGCUCGAUAUAGCUUGUGAUGGCUUGCGUGAUCGUCUUCACAUCAAAGAAGCCACUUGUUUAGCAAUGGUCUUGCUAUCAAAUUUCACUUUGAGCUCUUCCAUAGUUUUUGUUUUUUUAGCUUGGACUUCAUCGACAAGCUUCCUCGGGCGUCCACGUCCUCUCUGCUUUUUCGGGGAGCUCGAGGUGUCGGGAUCCUUUGGGGAGCUCGACGUGUCUGACAUCUUGCACUCAACAGUACCGAUAAUUUCUUGGACAUCGUCUUCUGAACCCAUAGGUUGCGAUGCAACGUGGGCUUCAUACGUCUCCGCCUGUAAAGCAGACAUGAGUGCAUUCGGUAGCGUCAUGACACAUAUGAAUAAAAUAAAAUAUUCGUGCUUUUUCGCUAACCGUUAUGGGGUACUUGUAUGUUUCCAUGCGAAGACUAUUGCAAUCUCAACGCAGCAAGCUUGAAACUAUUUUACAGCUAAAUAUAUCUAUCUGUGACUACAUUUGAUAAGCGACACAUAUGUCAGCACAGCGUUCAGUCAUAAGAUAUUCUACAAGAAAAUAUAGUGUUUGGCUCACCUGCUCCACUUUGUCGGUAAAUACUUCAUCGUUCCAUGUCAACAUGUACUUCAGUGUGAAAAACGCACAUGAAUGCCUCCAGUGUUUAGUUUAGGUUUUAGUAAACUUGGACGUGUCGGCAAGGAAUAAUUUAGGAGGUCGUACAUACCCGUCAUUCUGUUGCGGUAUGUCGUCAUAGCGUACUACUUCCCAGUCGGUAAAUUUGAUGGGCUUAGCUGGUGUUACCAAGCCAUCCUUCACCGCUUCGUCCAUGCAGGCCUGAAUCGCCUCCACCUAGCAUAAUACGAGUAUUACGAAGGGUUACGGUGAUUUGGGAGUUCAUGUGUCAUGCGACAGUAAAGAGGCAGCAAGAUAAAGCUUAUAAGAGCAGUUUCCUUGGACUCGUCAAAUUGAUUUUUCAAGGAGUUUAGGAUUUGAAUCUCUUCUUGUCGAAAUUGAACACCAUUGCCAUCCAGUGGUUAUCAUUCACAUUCAACGGGAUGUGGACCUGCCGUAAAGUCAAAGAGGACUCAUUCCACGGAAUAAUGUAUAUAAGGUAACAAUUAUGGUUCCGGGGACCCCUGAAAUAUUUCAUCUACACUAUCUAUUAUGAUAUAUGAAAGUGAGGAAAACGGUUACCUUCCGGCGUCCUACAAAUUUAUUUGCAAUACGCUGAACCCACGAGCUUCCAUGGCCCUUUGGAAUAACCACUUUUGUUUGUAAAAGCUUUCUGGUUUCAUUGGGGGAUAUGACUGUGGUAGUAUCAGUCUCAACUCCGCUGAUGUGAGCAUACGCCAUAAUAACCUGCCAAAUUUGUAUUCAUAUAAUGAUGUGCCAACAGUUCAAAUAGUUGAUGUACAAUGGAGUACAAGGGGCUUACAUCACCACAGAUGUAUUUUUGAUCGUAAAUUGGCUUCAGUUGUUCCGCUCUUAGAGGAAUGUCUUCGAUUUGAACGACUUCAACAGGGCCGUGUGUUCCCCGGAUGAAAAUGGCUGCCUCUUUGUCCUCAGCAGUGAGCACGUAAUCAUUAUCAAACAGAGGCUUCAUCGGUGUGAUUCGAGGAUCGUCCUUGUUUGGCAGGACGUGUCUGACACUUGGUGUUGGAGUCGAAGUACGUGGCGUGGAUGCGUCGAACUUAGGAGUCGCCAUGAAGGGAUCACUGCACACAUUGACUUGUUCCUACAACAACAAAAAAUGGUCAAUUAUAAUUAGUUUGGUAAUACUACUUAUGUGGUGGGCCAUAAUUAUUACCUCGACGCCUGCUUUCUGUGACUCGGAUUGUCGGCUGACUUUACUUUUGUUUUUUAAUUCCUGUAACAAUUAUAACAAUAAUGAAUAUGGAGGAACAUAUUCGUAACAAUAAAAAAUGCACAACAUGACAUACCUUCAGUUCCCUCCUUAUGUCCUUAAUUUCGUCCUCAAGCAGUGAGAGCCUAGGAUUACUGCCAGAUUUACUCUUAAUGUCGAUUAACUCUUCGCUUAGGGUGAGGAAUUUUGCAUCAAAUCUAUGCUGAAAUUCCAUUAACUGUCUGCCUAUAUUCUUUUCUUGCUCAACACAACGUGCAUUCAGGGCUGCAACUAUCAUUUCCACCUGUGCAAACGAAAUAACACCCCGUUCACAAGAAAUCAAAAUGAAUGAGUUUCGAUGGGACCUUUUACUGAUCUUGGAAAAUGAAAAUUGUCUUUGUUGGGCUUACUUGGUGGCUACUCAUAUUUUGACCUUGUGAUUGUGCUCGAGAUGAAUCACGUUCAUGCACACGUACAAAUUUUUGGCUUCCUGGAUCCUUUCUAUUGUUGGCCUCUGGUUGUCGAGCACAAAUUUCCAUCACAACCUUUGAAUCAGGUACAAUGAAUCAGUAGUAGCAAAUAAAUAACCUGAUAUAUACAUGGGUCAAAUCUAGAAACACACCAGUCCUUUAUGAAGACCUCCUGAGGUGUAAGCUUCAGCUCUUAUUACGCACGUGCAUUCGUCCCAUCGUGCGACCAAUGGUGGGGGUAUAGGAGUAUACAUCAAUUUGCCGGAACGCAGGUGCUCCCAGUACCAAAUCUUCACAAUAAAUUACUUCGUCAAUAUAGAGAGAUAUAGAAAAGAAAAACAAUUGUACAAUGUUAACUAGUGAUGUUGCACUAACCUGAAGUAGAGGUAGAUUUCCCUGUAGAGAUACUUGAUCAAGAGAGUUAAAUUUGUGUAUGGACAUGAACAAGUGUUUCAUUGUGAAACAUCCCCAGUUCAAUCUCGUAAGGCUUUUAAUAUCCGCAACAAGUUUAAGGUAUUUCGCAUCGACAUAAGAUUGUGUUGUUGGUGCUAAAACUGUGCCAAUAGCGAAUAGAAUGAACCGCGCCAGGAAAUCAUUGUCCGGUGUUUUGGAACUUAAGAUCUCUCUCUCAAGGUCAGCCAGAUCAAUGCUCCCAUUUUUUUGAAAUGUGUUAAACACAUUUGGAUCCGGUGCGCUUUCCAGCUUUUUAUCGAUAUCCUCCCAUUCCAUCGCAAGGCCAAAUAUAUGGUGCACGUCUUCUGCGGUGAUAGGAAUGGGUGUUUUACCUAUGGUAAUGGACGAUGUCUCACUAUUGAAGCUCUUUGCUAGUCUUAUCAACAUAAUGCGCCGGAGUUUAAAUUCACGAAUCAUGUUUAGACACCCAAGACCGGUAUCGGUUAUGAUUUUCUCUAUGUGUUUUGAUGACAACAAUUUCAUGACUUUGGCGAGCCUUGACGGUGAGCACACUAACUUCAUAUGGCCGUGUUUCCUCAAGAUUUCCUGCAAAAGUGGCAAUAGAUUUUAUCGAGUAUGAAAGAAGGGUCUGCAAGUACAGUUUUCAAACGAAAUGUCAACUACGUACCUCAUCGGUCAUUUCGGAGACGUGUUUUUCUCCAUUAGCAGGACUUUUAACAGUAGUUUCCAUUUUACUGGCACCUAUGGAACAGAAGCAAAACCGGUUCAAUUUAUUUGACCUUCACGUUGAGAAAUGUGUAACAAAAAUUAAAUCUUAUACGCAGGCACGGAUGAGUUUAUUAAAUAAUAUGAACUACAUGUAACGUUAAGCACACUACAGAUUUUGGUCAUGCAUAACAUUGGGACAGUUCAACUAGGGUUUUGGGAUUGCAUAAACAUACGACGUGUUAUUUCAUGAAAGAGAUACCCUUGUUGUGGUAUUACCUCUUCGGACGUUCGUGUAGUGUGCCAAGAUUGAUUACAAGAUAGUUAUUAAUGAGAGCUAUGAUCAGGUAAUCUUGACGACUGGAAUAACUUGUGGGAAACCUAUUAGGGCUUUACUAGUAGACGUGAGUGUCUGAGAAAGAUUAAAAAGAGCUAUGAUCACGUAACCUUCUGUCGUCGGCGGUGGCGGCCCAAUGCUCCAUGCGGAUAGUGCGUCCCACACUAGAUGUCGAUGUGUGGCGCUCGAUGGCAGCAAUAGGAGCAGCGGCGCGUUGACGCGCGUAGUAGGCGGCGACAACACCACUCCCGUCUGACCCCUCAGGCGACGUUGGCGGUGCGCGGCGGGCGGCGGCUACAAUCUGAUCUUGCAGCGGUCGUGGGAGGUGGUAGGGGACCUGGAUGCUGCGGGUGGUUACGAGGGAGGAGCUGUAAUCGUGGGAUUUCGGGAGAUCUGGGCGGCGUGAGUUAUGGGAGGUUGAAACAUUAGCAUGUAAUUGGCCAAAACAAAUGUAAUGUUCCGAAGAAAAAACAAAUGUGCCGUCGAGAAAGGAAUGCAUUUUUUAAGUGGUAAAAUAUGUUGUUUGUUCUGAAAAUGCCCGGAAAUUGGCCGUACGUGACUAAACUUGCAACUUCGCUGAAAAUGGUUGAAAUUUGAAAGUACCCCAAUAAUUACCAUGGCUUGCAACCCUGCAAAGUUGGGUUGAUUUCAGGUAGGUCAACAAACCAGCAUGUGAUUUCGGAGGUGCCAGUCAAGGCCGCAAGGGCGUGUUUGGGGGCACCCCCAUGUUUAGUAGAUCAUCUACAAUUCAAAAUGAUGUGUACUAAUUCCCAUGGAAUCCCAUGACCAAAACAAGCUGCCAUGCGAAAUGCUUCUAAGUUUAGACUAAGAUUUACACAUGAAAAAACUUUCAAACUUAGAUGAAAAUGGUUCAAACUUGGCAUAUGUAUCCCUAACAUGCCCAUGGAUUGUAACGUUACAAACUUGGCGGUCAUUUAAUAUAGGUCAAUAAACCAACAUGUGCUUUCGGAGGGUACAAGUAUAGCCCGGAAGGGCCCGUCUCGGGCCACCUCCUUCAAUACACCAUGUACAUAGGAUUCCAAGUUAUUUUGAUGCCAUCCCAUGAACCAAAUCAAGCAUGCAUGCACAGUGCGUUCAAGGUUACACAUGAUUUUCAUGAUUUUUUCACCUCCCAGACGGUCUACCCGUAGACAACCAUCGAAAGUGGUAGGACAUGAUGCCUUCAAGCUUUAUUGCCUAAGGUUAGACCUAAUUGACACCAUACCAAGUGCGAACAUUGGUUGAAACUGGAUUCCAUCCAUGGAGUCCAUGCAGUACACGCACUGCCUCCGUCGAGAACCUUCCUGCUUACACUGUCGAAUGUACAAACCAAGUAGAUCAUGCUUCAUGUGGAAUGAACCCAAGUUAUGACAUGCAAUGGAAAAUUUUACAUUACAGGCUUCCAGGACAACAUCAAAAUGUGUUUCAGCAAAAUUUGCAAGUUUUGGCAAUUGCGGCCACUUUUCGAGCAUUUAUGACCGAAAAAUGGAAGAAAAUGGAAAAUCUAGUAGAAACUUACAACCAUUGUGCAUGCAUGCUUCAUUUGGUCAUGGGAGGCCAUGAAAUAUAUUUGACAAAAUAUAAAGAUGGUGUGAACAUGGAGGUUCCCCGACACAAGCCCUUCCGGCCGAGCCUGGCGCCCUUUGAGAGCAGAUGCUAUAGUACUAUCCUGACCUGUAUGAAAUCGACCCAACUUUUUUGGGGUGACUAUUGAAGGCCAUGUUUGAACCAUUUUUUGUAAAGUUUGCAAUAUGAUUCACGUGUGGCCAGUUUUCGAGUACUUUCGGCCGAAAAAAUUACCGUACAUGCAAAAUUUUGUGUAAACUGAAUAGCAUUUUUGCAUGCUUGCUUGAUUUUGUCAUGAGAUGUACUUUAAAAGCUUGGGAGAAUUUCACAAAUUUCAUGUUGUACUUUCAUGAGAUAUCUAGACCCACGCGUGGUCCAGCACGCGGGAUAGGCUGGCCUGUGAAAGCCCAUCUAAUCUGGCCCAUCGCGUGGGCGCACCAGGGCAAAGCAGACGGUGGUGGGAGUUUAGUCCCACCUCGCCGAGUGAGAGGGAGACGCACCAGCUUAUAUACCCGGUUGUGCCUCCCCACUCAAGCUCCUCUCAUAUGCAGGCAGUACUUUGCCUAAUGUUUCAUGCUCUUUGCCCAGUUGGCCCCACCAGCAGAAGAGUAAUCUGCACCCCAGGCCUGUAUCCUGGCCCAUAAACUGUUGGGUUCGUAGUCGUAUACAGGCCGUGGUGUAUGAAAACUCCUGCCUCUGGUAUGGUAGGUGUGCAUUUUUUUUGCAUUCAUAUUGAAAUUAGUCAACAAAAUUUAACACAUGCUCACUGACUUACCUAGCUUUGUUUGUGCAAGAGAUCAUGUGUGCCAAAAUUUGGGUGAUUUGGAGGUGGUCGAAAAAAUCACUGCAUUUCGAAGGGACCAUUUUGUCUAACUUAAGCCAUUUUUUGAACAAAGCUGAUUUUUUUCACCACCUCCAAAUCACCCAAAUUUUCUAUGACACGGUGACCCACAUGUGUCAAACAUGUCUAUGAAAGAAAAUUUGGAAAAAAUAUAUUUUACAAUGCCCCCUUGAGGUAUAGACCGAUGUUAUGACCAGUCAGUCUAAAGGGCAGUAUAAAUUCAAAAAAAUUCAGAAAAUAUAAAACCUUGGAAACCUAGCUUUGUUUGUGCAAGAGAUCAUGUGUGCCAAAAUUUGGGUGAUUUGGAGGUGGUCAAAAAAAUCACCGCAUUCCGGAGGGACCAUUUGGUCUAACUUAAGCCAUUUUUUGAACAAAGGUGGUUUUUCCACCACCUCCAAAUCACCCAAUUUCUCUAUGACACGGUGACCCACAUGUGCCAAAAAUGUCCAUGAAAGAAAAUUUGGAAAAAUAUAUUUUACAAUGCCCCCUUAAGGUAUAGACCGAUGUUUUGAUCAGUCAGUCUAGAGGGCAGUAUAAAUUCAAAAAAAUAUAAAACAAUGGAAACCUAGCUUUGUUUGUGCAAGAGAUCNNNNNNNNNNNNNNNNNNNNNNNNNNNNNNNNNNNNNNNNNNNNNNNNNNNNNNNNNNNNNNNNNNNNNNNNNNNNNNNNNNNNNNNNNNNNNNNNNNNNNNNNNNNNNNNNNNNNNNNNNNNNNNNNNNNNNNNNNNNNNNNNNNNNNNNNNNNNNNNNNNNNNNNNNNNNNNNNNNNNNNNNNNNNNNNNNNNNNNNNNNNNNNNNNNNNNNNNNNNNNNNNNNNNNNNNNNNNNNNNNNNNNNNNNNNNNNNNNNNNNNNNNNNNNNNNNNNNNNNNNNNNNNNNNNNNNNNNNNNNNNNNNNNNNNNNNNNNNNNNNNNNNNNNNNNNNNNNNNNNNNNNNNNNNNNNNNNNNNNNNNNNNNNNNNNNNNNNNNNNNNNNNNNNNNNNNNNNNNNNNNNNNNNNNNNNNNNNNNNNNNNNNNNNNNNNNNNNNNNNNNNNNNNNNNNNNNNNNNNNNNNNNNNNNNNNNNNNNNNNNNNNNNNNNNNNNNNNNNNNNNNNNNNNNNNNNNNNNNNNNNNNNNNNNNNNNNNNNNNNNNNNNNNNNNNNNNNNNNNNNNNNNNNNNNNNNNNNNNNNNNNNNNNNNNNNNNNNNNNNNNNNNNNNNNNNNNNNNNNNNNNNNNNNNNNNNNNNNNNNNNNNNNNNNNNNNNNNNNNNNNNNNNNNNNNNNNNNNNNNNNNNNNNNNNNNNNNNNNNNNNNNNNNNNNNNNNNNNNNNNNNNNNNNNNNNNNNNNNNNNNNNNNNNNNNNNNNNNNNNNNNNNNNNNNNNNNNNNNNNNNNNNNNNNNNNNNNNNNNNNNNNNNNNNNNNNNNNNNNNNNNNNNNNNNNNNNNNNNNNNNNNNNNNNNNNNNNNNNNNNNNNNNNNNNNNNNNNNNNNNNNNNNNNNNNNNNNNNNNNNNNNNNNNNNNNNNNNNNNNNNNNNNNNNNNNNNNNNNNNNNNNNNNNNNNNNNNNNNNNNNNNNNNNNNNNNNNNNNNNNNNNNNNNNNNNNNNNNNNNNNNNNNNNNNNNNNNNNNNNNNNNNNNNNNNNNNNNNNNNNNNNNNNNNNNNNNNNNNNNNNNNNNNNNNNNNNNAAUGCCCCCUUGAGGUAUAGACCGAUGUUUUGAUCAGUCAGUCUAGAGGGCAGUAUAAAUUCAAAAAAAAAUCAAAAAAAUAUAAAACCUUGGAAACCUAGCUUUGUUUGUGCAAGAGAUCAUGUGUGCCAAAAUUGAGGUGAUUUGGAGGUGGUCGAAAAAAUCACCGCAUUCCGGAGGGACCAUUUGGUCUAACUUAAGCCAUUUUUUGAACAAAGGUGAUUUUUUCCACCACCUCCAAAUCACCCAAUUUCUCUAUGACACGGCGACCCACAUGUGCCAAACAUGUCCAUGAAAGAAGAUUUGGAAUUUUUUUACAAUGCCCCCUUGAGGUAUAGACCGAUGUUUUGAUCAGUCAGUCUAGAGGGCAGUAUAAUUUAAAAAAAAUCAAAAAAUAUAAAACCUUGGAAACCUAGCUUUGUUUGUGCAAGAGAUCAUGUGUGCCAAAAUUGAGGUGAUUUGGAGGUGGUCGAAAAAACCUCCGCAUUCCGGAGGGACCAUUGAUGUGCAGGAGAGUUCGUGGCCGUAGAAGAUCCCGUUGCCCUUUCUGGAGACAUGACAACGACGGAAUCCGAGGCAGAUUAGCCUGCAGCAGCCGGUUCCGGGCGGUCCUGAUCUUCUGUGGCAGCGGGCCGAGGCGCAGGUGAUGGUGGAGCCGCAGAAGAUCCAGGGGGGCUCGCAGACUCAUCAUGAGCCCAUGAUGCUGCAGGCCCAUUGGAGUCAGGGGCUGUCUCCACGUCCGCCUGGCGAACGGCGGGGCGCCGCUAGUAGCACACGGGCUGGACCGCAAAGCGCGUGCAUCCAUGACCAUUAUCUGGUUGCCGCAUGGCCGCCGGUGAUUAGUGUGGGCCGGAGGGCGCGCCUCGCCCGGUCCGAGGUGGCCGCGUGUCGAGCGGCGGGUCGGAGGCGCGCGUGCAGCCGACUGCAGCUGGCGCGUCUGGUCGAUCUGCCGCGGAUCCACAGCUGUCACCUGGCGCUGAUCCCGGAGACGAUUGCCUGGGCCUCUGCGACGGAAAUCCCGAGGAGGAUAUGUUCCCCACGCCGCGGCACACGCGAUAUAACUCGCCCGGAACGAUUUCUUCACCAGUUUCUUCGCCGUUUUCACUGUUUUGUUCGCCUGGCUCCCCUGUAGCAUGGUGAGUUGUACAUGCAGAUACAAACACACUAUGAUAAGAAGCCGCAAGCAGUUUUCCUUGCACUCUACGUGGAGGAUAUGUAGGAUGAGUAUGAUUCAUCAUCUGUAUUCAUCCUGUAUAUUCUUCAAUUGGAGAGCAUGGAUGCCUAAUGUAUUUUUCGGAUUUAUCAGGCUUUUAUUUUGUUUUCAGGAGCGAAAUAUAAUUCCUCCAUUACAUCUAUUUCCAAAUUUUAUCGUGCAACAUAAAGAAGCUACACGUUGGCCACGAAGAAACCAUGAUUCUUGAGGUUGCACUUGAAAAACUCACAUAUAAAAUGCAAAAAAAAUAUCCCGAACUAAUACUGUUACAAGGGAGUGGACAACCAAAUAGUUGAGUCAUACAUUAUGAGGAAGUCACUAACUGAAAGAAUGAAGUAUUUUAGAGAAAAGGUCACACGAUACUAGACAUAGACGACAAUGCACACGCCAACAUCAGGUUGAUCGUCGACGUACUUGCUGUCCGACCGUGCGCACAAUGUUGUAGCUAUCAUAGUUCUUCUUUGAUAUCCUGCACAUAAGGAUAUUAUUAAUGCCAUGGAAUAUAUUUGGACACAUUAAAACAUUAAAUUAUGGCAUAUUAGGUACCUCUAUCAAUUUGGCGCACGUACGUCGAUUGUGACCAUCUGCCUCAUGACAAUAGCUACAUCUACCCUUUGUUCUGGUUUUCUUCAUCUUUGCAUGUAGCCUUUUCUUCGGAGCACCUCGGCCUGUCACAUGCACGGGAUCCAGAACCUUUUCGAAACCUUCACCAUCAAGGUUAGCCGAUUGUGGCAUCAACGGGCCAAACCUAAUGUUGUUACCCUGAGCAUUAGUUGAUCCCUUGCUAUCAGCUUGUUCACUUGUUGAUCCCUUGCAAACAUCUUGUCCUUCCAAAACCCUUUUUAGAUGUUGAAACGCCUCAUCAGAGUGGCAUGCCUUGAAACAUGCUGCGUGACUAAAAUUCCUUAGCUUACGAUACCUUUGUAGGGCUGCAGAGUAUGCAUACAUCUCGCUCUUUUUGGUCGGUGCGAAUGCACAUUUUGCACUCAUUGUCCACCUAGUGGGAACACAACACCUGGGCAGUGUUUCUUCUUGUAAAAUUCCCAAUAUGUAAAAUAUGUGGGAACAUGGUGUGCCUGCGUAUUCCAAUUUGCGGCAAGAACAACUGAUACUGCGAAGCAUACCUUCCUUCGUCUCUGUGCGCACUUUGAUCUUUUUAUCCAUAUUUUCCUUCUUAGACACAACGUAUGUGGUAACCUCUGCUACAUCAAGUACCUCUCUGAUCUCACAUUUUAUGACAGCAUCUAUGCUCCAUAAGACCAACUUAAACACAGCAGGAGUGAAAACUUUUGCGGCAUGUUUCUCAAGAAUUGAAGCAUUUUCCUCUGUGAACGGAACGGACUGUAAGGCCGCGACGUCUUGGAGAGCCUCGUUCAAGCGUCGCGACGCAAGGCAACACUCAUAGUGCUCUAGCAUUUGAAACAACGUCAUCUUAGCCUCAAGGUGCGUAUGUAGCACCGAGUUUAAACUCUCACUCCGCUGAUUGCUGCUCAAUCCUAGGAAACAACGGCCCUCAAGAUAUGGAGCACACCACAGUUUUCUCAUCUUAUACAUCUGAUGCAGCCAGGAGUCCUUGUUACUUUAUUCCGUUGUAAGAAGUGUAACCAUUUUCUCUCAUGCUCUUCAAUGGAAGAUGUAUCAUAUAUGAAAGAUCGGAAUUCCUCCUUUACCGCGUCAUCGUGCAGAUGGCGUACAAUGUUCUACUGAAUGUGCCAUAUACAGAGCCUAUGGUUUGAGUCAGGCCACACCAUCCUGAUUGCUCUCUGCAUUGCAAGGUCCCCAUCCUGAUCACAGAUAUAGGAUGCUUCUGUCCCAUAGCAUCAGAAAAGGUCCGUAACAUCCACUUGUAUGCCUGGCUUAUUUCAUGUGAAAUGAUACCACAUGCAAAAAUAACGGUGCUGCGGCGGUGAUUCAGCCCGACAAACGGCACAAAUGGCAGAUUGUACUUAUUGGUUCUGUAUGUGCUAUCAAAAACAAUAACGUCUCCGAAAGCCUCGUAGUCAAGUCGGGAUUAACUAUCACACCAGAACAGUCCCUUCAGAUGGCCAGCUUCAUCAACUAAGUACCUGAAGAAAAAAUCUGAAUCUUGCUCUUGCCUUGCCACCAUGUGAUUGAUCACCGUUUGAGCAUCCCCGGUAGAAAUUGUUUCCUGCUUGUUAGCAUGGAAGAAAUUGUAAAUGUCCCUCAUAAUGCAUCCAACAUCAUCAUAUCCACCGUAUUGCAUGCACAUAAUAUCCAUAAUAUGGUGUUUUCUGAUCCCAGAUUUUUCCAUGUCUGCAAUGUCCGCUUUCUGCUCAUCGCUAAUUCUUCUGUGUGAACGCAAAAGACACGACAGAUCCUAUGGGGCUAGAGGAUGGUUGUGUUCAUCGAUGAAAUCCUUGACAAACCACUGACCUGUUUCCUCCUGUCUUGCAAUCACCAAUUUAGCUUUACACCCUACACGAGUUAUACUCCGUGGCCUCCUCUUUCUAUCUUCCAUCUUCCUCUUCAUGUGCUUCUCUUCACGAACCCCUUCACAACUACACACAAAUUUCCUUAAAAUUAUAUGGCAGUUGGAUCCAUCCCACUCGACAUAGCUUCUCCGGACACUAAAACCUUUCUCAAGACCAUAUUGUUAUAGAAUGUAUAACCUUCAUCCUCACUAUUAAACAUAUUGUUGGCAAUAUGAUAUUACUCCAUCAUUGACUCAUGACUUACGUCCGCCAUGUCUUCCUGCAUCACAAUUCGGACGAAUAAAAAUCUGGAAGGACAGACAUAAAUGCAUGCAAAACCCAGUACGAAAUCUUGCGUGGAAUUUUAAACUUUGCUCCUUGUACAUGUUAUGGCAAGCGAUCAUAAACGUCCAUAAACUAGGUCCCCCGUAAACUAGUGAAGUGACCAUGGAUGAUGAAAAAUUCUAAAUUGAAUUGCAUGCGCUAGGGAAACCUAAAUCGAUGAUGACUAAACAAAUCUAAGUAGGAAGUGCAGGCUACGAAUCAAAGUAAGUUGAGAUUCGGGCGAUUCAUACCUUAAGAUGCAAGUCUGGAAGCGAUGGGAUCAGCGGGGGGCUUUCUCCUAUACCUCCGCUGCCGUCGCCGGGCUCGCCGGACAGAAGGAAGAGGACGAGAAGGAGGACUUGACCGAGCUACUAGAUCUAGACGUGGUUCUGGUCGUGGACGUGAUCGGUUGAUUUUUUUACCCUGGACCAUUAUUCCCUUCUCUGAUUAAACUAAUUAAGUUAAUUCAUUCUUAAUCCCCCACCAGAUCGGAUGGCUAAUAAAAAUCGGAGGGGUAAGUACUCGAAAGUACUCCCAGUACUGCCCCAAUCACCGUAAAGGAGCUCAAAAUAUAUUGUUGGAUUUAUAUUUGAAAGAAGUUUCUCAUGAUACUAUUUUGAGGUACAUAUAAGAUAUUUAGCUAGUUAAAUCUAAGGCCAAAAUUAGAUCCAAAAUAUGAGGGACUAAUAAAUUUGGACAGAGAAAAUUACUCUCUAAUAAUUGAUUGAGGGAUAUGGAUGCAAGGCCCGGGUCAACCCUCUUGUUUUUCUAAAAAAUGGAAAACACUACAAACAAACUAUUGGACAAAAUUUCCUGAUAGAUAGGAUAAUUCAGAGAUUGAUGGGGUGGAAAGAAAAGGUUUUAUCACUAGGGGGAAAAGAGAUUCUUCUCAAAUCGGUGGCUCAGGCAAUACCAUCUUAUGCAAUGUCGGUCUUUAAAAUCCCUAAAAAUUGUAAGGGAAUAACAGAUGUGAUGGCGCAAUUUUGGUGGGCUGAUGAUGCCAACCAUAGAAGAAUGCACUGGUUUGCCUGGUGGAAAAUGUGUGUCCCUAAGAAAAGAGGUGGACACUAGUAGAAAAAGGGUCAAAUGUCAAGCACAUUAGUGCCGGUUUGCUUUUGAGCCGGCAGUAAUGUGUGCAUUAGUGCCGGUUCCAACGGCUAGCCAGCCGCUUUCAUUAGUACCGGUUCAUGGCCGACCUUUAGCACCAGUUCGUGCCACGGACCGGUACUAAAGUGAGUGGUGGCAGGAUGUUGUCAGUCCGGGGCCCCUCCAGCACCUUUAGUACCGGUUCAUGGCACGAACCGGUGCUAAAGGUCGUCCUACAUAAGCCCUUCGUCCACCCGAGCUCGCUCUGUUCUUCCCCUUUCCCCUUUCCUCUCUGUUCUUCCCCUCUUCCUCUCGAGCUCAUCACACAUUUUGCCCAAAUUUUUUCAAGAUUUGAAGGCCCCCAUCCAUUCAAAUGAUCACAAAGGUUAGCAACUUUUUCCUUUCAUCUCUCAUUGCUAGAUUAGCUCUUGCAAUGCUUUGUAUAGUGAUUAAAUUAUGAGUUUAGUAAUUUGGUAGAAAAUAUAUGUGCUAGUAUUUGAUUUUAUAUGCAAUUUGUGGUCAAAACUAACACUUAGUUUGCAUAUGUAGGUGUGGUUUACUUAGUGCCUUCUAAAUCUCCAUCGUAACCACAGUCGAUCGCCCGCACCACCUUGUGGUGAGCCUCUUGUUCAUGAAUGUUUUACAUUACCAAAUUGAUGUUUGUGUGAUUUGGAUAUAUAGUUACUCGUAUAAUUAUCUUACCCGUACGUUGUUUGUUAUACAUAGUGCCAUGGUUUUGAUAUCCGUCCCCGUCGGCCCUCGUCCUUGUUAUGAUUCGGAUGUGGUAUAUUCUCUUUUAAAACUAGUUGUUGCAUUUCGUGUUUAUGACAAAUUAUGCCCAUCAAGUUGACAUAGAUAUUUUUGUCUAGGAGGUUUGUGAACCGGAAAUUCCAACCGACCCUAUUGUCGAGAGGUUAAAUUUAGUUGAAAGAGAAAACGAGUAUUUGAAAGAAAAAUUGAAAAGAAUUGAGGGGGACAAGAUGGAAUUGGAGUUGCAUGUUGCCGAUGUCGUCGAUGAUCACAAGAUCAAGAUGGAGAAAAUGCGCUUGAAGAUUAGAAAGAUUAGAAAAUAUGCCAUUAAUAGUGAGGCUUGGUAUCAUUAUGCUGUUGGAUUAAUUGUUACCUUAGUUGCAAUCUUGAUCGCAUUUGUUGUUGAAUUUUAAUUCUUUAGUUAGAGAGUUAUUUGUUUGUUGCAUUUAAGUCUUGUAUGAACUUUAUGUAUGAACUUGUAUUAAUUUGGUCUAUUCGGUGCUGUGUAAUGAAGAUGAGCCGACAAUGGAUGUACGAUGACCGAUGCUCUCCCGAGUUCAUUAAUGGCGUGCAAACUUUUCUGCUUGCAGCUGAGGCAAACAAGCGGGCGGAUGGUUUUAUGCCUUGUCCAUGUUUAGUCUGUAAGAAUGAUCACAAUUACUCUACGUCAAGAACCAUUCACGUCCACCUGUUUAAGUCCGGUUUGAUGCCCCACUAUAAUGUUUGGACCAAGCACGGAGAAAGAGGGGUUAUGAUGGAAGACAAUGAAGAAGAAGAGGACGACGACAGCUAUCCUGGCCAUGGGUUCCCUGAAUACGAUGAUACAACAAUGGGGGAAGAAGCUGAGCCAGCAAUGCGGGAAGAAGCUGAAGAAGAGGCAUCAGAUGAGCCCGCUGAUGAUCUAGGUCGGGCCAUUGCCGAUGCAAAGAGAAACUGCGCAAGUGAUUUGGAGAAGAAGAAGUUGCAGCGCAUGUUAGAGGAUCACAAGAAAUUGUUGUACCUGAAUUGCGAAGCUGACAAGAAAAAGUUGGGCACCACACUGGAAUUGCUGCAAUGGAAGGCAGAGAAUGGUGUAUCUGACAAGGGAUUUGGAAAGUUAAUGGUAAUGAUAAAGAAUAUGCUUCCAAAGGACAACGAAUUGCCCGAGAGUACGUACGAAGCAAAGAAGGCUGUCUGCCCUCUAGGGUUAGAGGUGCAGAAGAUACAUGCAUGCCCUAAUGACUGCAUCCUCUACCGCGGUGAGUACGAGGAUUUGAACGCUUGCCCGGUAUGCAGUGCAUUGUGCUAUAAGAUCAGGCGCGAUGACCGUAGUGAUGUCGAGGGCGAGCGCUCCAGGAAGAAGAUUCCUGCCAAGGUGAUGUGGUAUGCUCCUAUAAUACCACGGUUGAAACGUUUGUUCGAAAACAAAGAGCAUGCCAAGGCGAUGCGAUGGCACAGAGAAGACCAUAAGAAAGACGAAAAGUUGAGAGUACCCGCUGACGGGUCGCAGUGGAGAAAAAUUGAGAGAAAGUACGGGAAGGAGUUUGCAGAUGACGCAAGGAACGUAUGGUUUGGUCUAAGCGCAGAUGGCAUUACUCCUUUUGGGGAGCAGAGCAGCAACCAUAGCACCUGGCCUGUGACUCUAUGUUUGUAUAACCUUCCUCCUUGGUUGUGCAUGAAGCGGAAGUUCAUUAUGAUGCCAUUGCUCAUCCAAGGCCCUAAGCAACCCGGCAACGACAUUGAUGUGUACCUAAGGCCAUUAUUUGAAGAACUCUUACAGCUGUGGAAUGGAACAGGUGUACGUGCGUGGGAUGAGCACAUGGGGGAAGAAUUUAACCUAAAGGCCUUGUUGUUCAUGACCAUCAAUGAUUGGCCUGCUCUCAGUAACCUUUCAGGACAGGCAAACAAGGGAUACCGCGCAUGCACGCACUGUUUGGAUGAUACCGGCAUUAUAUAUUUGGACAAUUGUAGGAAGAAUGUGUACCUGGGACAUCGUCGAUUUCUUCCAAGCAGGCAUCCCGUAAGAAAGAAAUGCAAGCAUUUCAAAGGUGAGGCGGAUCACCGGACGAAGCCUCGCCACCGUACUGGUGCUGAUGUACAUGAUAUGGUCAAGGAUUUGAAGGUAGUCUUUGGAAAGGGUCCUAGCGGACAACCUGUUCCGAAUGACGCUGACGGACGCGCACCCAUGUGGAAGAAGAAAUCUAUAUUUUGGGACCUGCCCUAUUGGAAAGAUCUAGAGGUCCGCUCUGCAAUCAACGUGAUGCACGUGACGAAGAAUCUUUGCGUGACCCUGCUUGGCUUCUUGGGCGUGUAUGGGAAGACAAAAGAUAGACCUGAGGCACGGGAGGACCAGCAACGUAUGCAUGGAAAAGACGGCAUACAUCAGGGUCAUGCCAGCUACGCUCUUACCAAAGAAGAGAAGGAAAUCUUCUUUGAAUGCCUGCUCAGUAUUAAGGUACCGUCUGGCUUCUCGUCGAAUAUAAAGGGAAUAAUAAACAUGGCAGAGAAAAAGUUCCAGAACGUAAAGUCUCAUGACUGCAACGUGAUUAUGAGGCAACUGCUUCCAGUUGCAUUGAGGGGGCUUCUACCGGAUAACGUUCGAUUAGCCAUUGUGAAGCUAUGUGCAUUCCUCAAUGCAAUCUCUCAGAAGGUAAUCGAUCCAGAAAUCAUACCAAGGUUAGAGAAUGAUUUGGUUCAAUUUCUUGUCAGUUUCGAGUUGGUGUUCCCACCAUCCUUCUUCAACAUCAUGACGCACGUCCUAGUUCACCUAUGCGAAGAGAUUAACAUUUUGGGUCCUGUAUUUCUACACAAUAUGUUCCCCUUUGAGAGGUUCAUGGGAGUCUUAAAGAAAUAUGUUCAUAACCGUGCUAGGCCAGAAGGAAGCAUCUCCAAGGGCCAUGAAAAUGAGGAGGUCAUUGAGUUUUGUAUUGACUUUAUUCCUGACCUUAAGCCGAUUGGUGUUCCUGAAUCGCGGCAUAAGGGCAGACUGGAUGGAAAAGGCACGCUAGGAGGGAAUCAAAAAAUAUGUAUGGACGGACAUUCUCUCACUGAAGCACACUACACAGUUAUAUAGAAUUCCGCCUUGGUGGCUCCGUAUAUGGACGAACACAAGAAUUUUCUACGCUCCAAACACCCGGAGUGGUCUGAUGACUGGAUUACACGUGAACAAACCAGGAGUUUCGCCGGCUGGUUGCAGACACGUACCAUGCAUGACGCCUCUAUUGAAGAUGACAUGUACUCGCUGUCCCAGUUACCAUCUUCGAAUAUAAUGACUUUCAAAGGGUACGAGAUAAAUGGUAAUACAUUUUACACGAUCGCCCAAGAUAAGAAGAGCACCAACCAAAACAGUGGUGUCCGCUUUGAUGCAACAACCAAGACGGGAAAGGAAACAUAUUAUGGUUACAUAGAGGAGAUAUGGGAACUUGACUAUGGACGUGGUUUGAAGGUCCCUUUGUUUCGGUGCAAAUGGGUCAAUAUGACACGAUAUGGGGUAACGGAAGACCCGCAGUAUGGAAUGACAACAGUGGAUCUCAACAAUCUUGCGUAUGCAGACGAACCAUUCGUCCUAGCUAGUGAUGUGGCACAGGUUUUCUAUGUGAAGGAUAUGUCUACCAAGCCGAGAAAAAGAAAAGAUAAGGAAGCGAAUGCAUCAUACGAUGAGCCAAAGCGCCACAUAGUUCUUUCUGGGAAGAGAAACAUCGUGGGAGUGGAUGACAAGACAGACAUGUCAGAUGAUUAUGAAAAGUUUGAUGAAAUUGCUCCAUUCACAGUGAAUAUUGACCCGAGCAUCCAGUUAAAUGAUGAAGAUUUUCCAUGGCUACGGCGCAAAGGGACACACGCGAAGAAAAAGUUUCACACCCAAAGAUCUGGGAAGUGAUCGUCUUCACUAUCAUCACUUUCUUCUGUGUUUCACACCCAGGAGGCAAUCUCUGUAAUAGUUAGGGUAGUUAUGUGUUUUGGCAUUUGAAACGCGAAGAAAUUUUAUGUGCAAACAAAUUCUUUCAUGCAUUUACUGAUUUUUUUUAGCUAAAUGACCCUGAAAUUGAAAAGCAUUUCAAAUGAACUCAGAAAAGGUUGAAAGUUGGCAUGGUAUCAUAAUUUCACCCACAUAGCAUGUGCAAAAAAGUAUAGAGGGUUACCGCAAAAACUGGAUGCACUUCGUGUACAAAAUGGACAAUCUCUUUCGAAGUAUCAGGGUUUCGGACGAAAACUCAUCCGUUACAAAGGCAUUUCAUUUUUUAAAUAACCUAAGCAUUACCAAAUUGAAUAUAAUGAUAAAACACACUAAUAUUAAACAUAAGAUAAAAGAAUCACUGAAAAAUCUAUUUUCAAAGUUAAGUUAUUCGCAAACUAGUGAUUCACACAAAUUUCAAAUAAUUCAAAAUGUAAACUAUUCAAAUUUGUAAACUACCGGCACUAAUAGAAAGUUUGUACUUUUUUGUACCUAAAGCAAAAAUAUUCACAAAGAAACUCUAAAUACAGCCAAAAACAACUCAAAAAUAAAUAAAACAAAAAUAAAUAAAGCAAAAAAAUAAGAAAAUAAAAAAGCCCGCCUACUGCGCCACAGCGGCCUGCAUACGACUAGAAACCCAAACUGUUGUUGGGCCAGGAUGCAGGCCCGCAAAGGCCCAGUAGGCCCACAGGGCACCACAGAACAUUUAGGCCCAGUAGGCCUGCUUUGGAGAGGAGCUCGAGAGAGCUACCGCACUGGGGCUUAUAACCCAGUGCGGGCGCCCCUCGGCUAGCGAGGUGGGACUAAACUUGCCGCACCGCACCUGCGCCAGCGCGCCCCCUUUAGUACCGGGUGGUGGCUCCACCAGUACUAAAGGGAGGCCUUUAGUACCGGUUGCAGCCACCACCCGGUACUAAAGGGGUGCGCUUCCCGCCGCUUGGCCUGGCCAAAAUCGACCUUUAGUACCGGUUGGUGGCUCCAACCGGUACUAAAGGCCCCUCCUAUAUAAACAACACUUACGAAAAUUUCGUCAGUUUCUUCCCACUUCUCUCUGCUUCAUCGCCGCCGCCCCGUCCCGCGCCGUCGCCGCCGCCGCCGUCGCGCCAUCCCCAUCGACUCCGCGCCGCCCCGGUCCUCAUCGCGCCGUCNNNNNNNNNNNNNNNNNNNNNNNNNNNNNNNNNNNNNNNNNNNNNNNNNNNNNNNNNNNNNNNNNNNNNNNNNNNNNNNNNNNNNNNNNNNNNNNNNNNNNNNNNNNNNNNNNNNNNNNNNNNNNNNNNNNNNNNNNNNNNNNNNNNNNNNNNNNNNNNNNNNNNNNNNNNNNNNNNNNNNNNNNNNNNNNNNNNNNNNNNNNNNNNNNNNNNNNNNNNNNNNNNNNNNNNNNNNNNNNNNNNNNNNNNNNNNNNNNNNNNNNNNNNNNNNNNNNNNNNNNNNNNNNNNNNNNNNNNNNNNNNNNNNNNNNNNNNNNNNNNNNNNNNNNNNNNNNNNNNNNNNNNNNNNNNNNNNNNNNNNNNNNNNNNNNNNNNNNNNNNNNNNNNNNNNNNNNNNNNNNNNNNNNNNNNNNNNNNNNNNNNNNNNNNNNNNNNNNNNNNNNNNNNNNNNNNNNNNNNNNNNNNNNNNNNNNNNNNNNNNNNNNNNNNNNNNNNNNNNNNNNNNNNNNNNNNNNNNNNNNNNNNNNNNNNNNNNNNNNNNNNNNNNNNNNNNNNNNNNNNNNNNNNNNNNNNNNNNNNNNNNNNNNNNNNNNNNNNGCGCGCGCCGCCGGCGCCGUCGCCUUGGCUCGCCGUCGCCGUCGCCUGCACACACAACACAUACACACACAUACACACACACCAUACACACACACAUACACAAUUUUUUUUUCUGUUUUUAGUUUUUAGUUUUUCUGUUAUUAGUUAUUAGUUAUUAGUUAUUAGUUUUUUCAGUUUUUUCUGUAUUAAUGUUAUAGAAAUGUUAGUUAUAUAGAAAUGUUAGUUAUAUAUAGAAAUGUUAGUUUUUUCUGUAUUAAUGUUAUAGAAAUGUUUGUUAUAUAGAAAUGUUAAAGAAAAAUUAGUUAUACAAUUUUAGUUAUUGAAAUGUUAGAAAUGUUAGUUUUAGAUAUGGUCGAUGUUUUUUUAGUUUAUUAUAUUUUUAGUUAUAAAAUUUAGAAUUUGCAUAUAAGAAAUCACAAUCCAAUCAUUUAAAAAUGUUACUUUACUUUUGCGGCAUAUAGUAUUUGUUGUCGACGAUGCCCGGCCCGCAUCCUCGCCGUCGACCCCUUCGCGACGACGUCCUGCUUCAGAGGACCCAUGUCCGGGAUUGGGCUCCGCCGGGCUGGCACUGGGAGGUGCUACCUGGAGGGGCACGACGCUUGGUGAGGAACCCGGCCUUGGGUCCCGUCGUUGACCCUGAUCUCCUUUGGUGGCAUUCGCGUGGGCCACAUUCGGUGCAGAGGGAGCCGGCCCCGCCGGAGGUGGUGCGUCGUCGUGUCAAGGAGGAGGACGAGCACGUCCAUCGCUACAUGGCUGCUAUGGACGUCAGGUUCUCCAAUACCUGGCAGGUUCUUUGGGCAGAUGACCGGAGGUAUGAUCCUGUGAUGGUUCCUUGUCUUUGGGUGUCCAUCGCCCGCGCCCCAGGAACCGCGAGUGGCCUAGAUUCUUCUAUAGUAUUCGAUCUUUAUUAGCUACCUAGCCAGUGAUGUAUUCGAGAUUAUAUAUUAUUCGAGAUGAUGUAUUCGAGAUUAUAUAUUAUUCGAGACGAUGUAUUCGAGAUUAUAUAUUAUUCGAGACGAUGUAUUCGAGAUUAUAUAUUAUUCGAGACGAUGCAUAUUAUGUACUAUAUGAUUCAGUUUUUCCUUAUUGAUUGCAUCCAUGCAUUGUAAUUUGAAUACUAAAUUGUUUUAUAUUUCUUUAGUAUUAGUUAAAUAAAAGCUAUGGCGGACAAUACCAGCAGAGAGGGAGAAGAGGCCCUGUUCGAGAUCAUAUGCAGCCCUAGCAGGCCAGAUGAUCUGAAUGAAGCAAAUGACGGCUCCCAAUAUCUGAACAAUACCGGGGAGGGUGAUGAUAAGAUAUUCGAUCUCGACGACCGAGCUGAUGAAGUCAUGAACUAUGAUUAUGAUUAUGAUGACGCAGACAAUGAUUAUGAUGACGAAUACAAUGUUGAUCUUGAAAUAAGAAAGACUACCGGCAAGGUAUAUUUAUAUAAGCAGGCAUCUAGUGAUCAUCACAUGUUUUUUUAUUUGAAGAUAUCUUAACGAAUCGAUCUUUCUUCUUUCAGCCCUCCGGAUCGAGCAAAUCUGCUUCUACAGACAGCAGGACAAAGCGCAGCCAGGGCAAAAAGUUGAAGGAGGGUGUAAAGUACAACAUCGAUUCCAUCAAAGCUAGUGGCGAACCCCUCACGCCUAAGAACAUUGCGAACAAGUUCGUUCGUCAGUGCGGAGUUCUUGUGAAGGACCAACUCCCGAUCUCCAUUCAAGAAUGGAAAGAGCCAAAAACUAAACGCCCAGAUGUUACUUGGGUCGACGACAGAGCAAAACAAAAGCUCUGGGAAUCUCUGAUGGAACAUUUCACCCUACCAGAUUAUUUCACUGAUGCAGAUGUGCAGAAAGUCAAGGACGCUGCUCUUAAGAAGAUGGCAAUUGCAUUCAACACCCACAAGAAAACUGUAUGGGCCAACUACCUCGCUGCAGAAAGGAAGACUCCAAAAUUCAAGGGAACACUGGAGAAGAAAAGAGAACACUGGCCCGCUUUCGUGAAAUUCAAGGAAUCAGAAUUAUCUAAGGAACGGUCAAGAAAAAACAAGGCCAAUGCCGCAAAAAAGACGCAGUUCCAUAGGCUAGGUCCAGGUGGCUAUGCAGUGGCAAUGCCUAAGUGGGAUAAGUCUGAGCAAGAGAUGGAGGAUGCAGGGGUCACUCCGGUUACUAGGAGCUGGCCCCCCAGGUGCAGAACUUGGUUCUAUGCGCAUGGGGGGGCGUUGGACCCGAAGACAGGCCUGGUUUCGAAGAAGACAAGUCUAAAAGGAGCAGAACAAAAGUUACUUGACGCAAUAGAAGAUGCUCGAAAGGGGUGUUCACGCCCAACAGAGAGAACGACGAGCUUACGCGCGCCCUGGGAAAUCCUAAACACCUGGGAAGAACACGAGGCAAGGGCGUUAUUCCCUGGUAUGAGGGCUUUUCGGAAUGGAACGACGACUACAGGACCCGUGCAAGAAAGAAGAUGGAGGAGGAGAAGAAGAGGAAGCUGGAGGAGGAGCAGAGGAAGCAGGACGCGGAACGCCUUCAAGGCCUAGAAGCAAGGCACGCGGACUUGGCACUCAAAUUCCAGCAGCAGCAGCAGCAGCAGCAGCAGAUCGACUCACUUAGCCAGGAAAGGGGGUCUCAGCAGCGGCAGCAGCAAGCGGAUGAUCAUCCAGCAUUGGAUAGCACCGUCCCAUCCAUGCCGAGAAGCAGCGUUGGUUCCGCCCCGGGCGACGCACUGCUGGAUACAUACCCUGUGGAUGACAUCAUAGAGAACACUAACUGUGAGCUACACUUCAAAAUGAAGAACAUAUCCAUGAAGGUGGCGGACGCCGUUGCUUUUACAAUUACCCCCGAAGCAACCUUCCAUUGCGCCCCAAUUCCAGAGGGCUAUGCUCGUGUCUUGGUUGAUGAGGUGGUGGACCAAUAUUCGGGGCUAGAUCUUGACAUUCCUGGAGGUGACGACGAGCACACACUGGGAGAGGCCAUACAUCGUAUCAUCCUAUGGAGAAAGGAUUGCAUCAUCUUUCGAAGUCCACCGACACCGCGUCUGCCGACUCCUCCUCGAAGUCCGCCACCAUGUCAGCAGACUCCCGCUCCUCCAAGUCCACGAACGCAUGAGCAGACUCCUGCUUCAAGUCCGGCACAGCGUCAGGCCACUCCUCUUGUUUCAAGUCUGACACCGUGUCAGGCCACACCUCCUGCUUCAAGUCUGGCACAGCGUCAGGCCACACCUCCUGCUUCUAGUCCGACACCGUGUCAGGCCACACCUCCUGCUUCAAGUCCGGCACAGCGUCAGGCCACUCCUCCUGCUCCAACUAAGCCACGUCAGCCGUCUCCACCGCCUAAGCAAUCGCAGAAGAGACACGCCGCAGCUAUGGUGCGUAGCGGUAUGAGUCGAGAUAGUACAGAAAGUACAUGCGGAGACAAGCGAUAUAAAUAUGGUCCAAGCAGCCUCGCUCCUCUUCCUCAGAGGCCUUACGACAUGACCGAGGAGCAAAACGAUGCAAUAGUGCGGGCCGAAGUGGACGCUCAUUUUCGACCGAAACCGGCAACGCCGCCGAGGGAGAAAGUGCCUGAGGAAAAGAUUGAACACUUCAUUCGUAUGGCUAGACCACCAGCUCCCAAGCCUAUUGACUCAGACUAUGAGCGCCAAAUCAGGAAGGCACAUCGAGCACGACUACAGAAAGAAGCGAGCUCGAGCUCGAGCCAACAAGCAGCUGUCAAAAAAUGCGGGAAAACCAUUCCCCAGCUGGGAGAACAGGCGGCGCAACCGACCCCCCCGCUUGUUGUGCCAACAACACAUGAGAGUACGCGCGCCCAAUAUUAUUGUGGGCAAACCGUUUAUGUUCCCGAGCUGGGCGAUGUGGUAAUAACCGAGGAGCAUAUAAUGCAGGCUGAAAUGCUCAAGAUCACUGUUGGACAACUCCUCGAGAUAGAGCCCAUGUCUCCGCUUAGAGAGGAGGAAAUAAAACGGAAAUAUGUCUGGGGCCAACCUUUGGUCGAGCCAGACGAGGUCAAGAACCUCCCAACGAGAAUUUAUGAAUUGCAUCAGUGGUACAUGAACAUUGCCAAGAUUUCCAAUCGAGGGUCCCUCAUGGUGAAUGUCAAGGAGGAGCAUUACUUCCAUGAGAAAGCUGUGUCCGUUGAGUAUUCAGAACUAUUUCAGUUAUUCAAUCAAGAUGCACUCGACAAAUCUAUCGUCAGUUGCUAUUGUCUGUAAGUGAUUUCUUUCUGUAAUUUAAGUCUCAAGCUACCUCCAGUGCUCAUUGAUUGAUCAUUAAUUACCUGUAAUUAUAUAUCCUCACUAUAUAUUCUUUUUUGUGGUAUUAUGCAGGAUGAAGAUGUAUGAAAUGAAAAAAGCUGGACGCUAUGGCAUUGGGUUCAUUGACCCAAAUACCGUUAAUGAAUACACAUGGAAAUUGGAAUGGUGUAGACAAGAUGUAGAGAAAUGCAUGCUAGAGUUCUUGAAGCGCCUCAAUAGCAAUGAAGAUAUACUACUUCCUUACAACUUCGAGUGAGUCACACUGUCUUGUACUACAAAUUCUGUUUUUGCUUACUAGCUAGAUGUUAAUAAGUGUAUAGGGUUUAGGGUUAUAGUUGAUUGGUGUUAUGCACAUGCCCGCUUAAUUUAUACAUGCAAACGUAUGCGCAUGCAGCUUCCACUGGAUCUUGUUAGACAUUAAAGUUGACGAAGGAAAAGUUAAAGUACUGGACUCACUACUUAAAAAAGAUAGUGACUACAGCAUCGUGAAGGGGAUAGUCGACAGGUUAUUUCAAUCAUUAUUAACUAUAUCUCGGCCUAUUUAGUUUGUCAUUUCCUGAUAUGAACUAUUUUUAAUAACCCCUUUAUUAAUUUUCUUUGACGGCGGGCAGGGCUUGGGCAAAGUACAUCAAGGUGACUCCAGGAAAAUGGCGACAAAAGCUAUGUUGGUAUCGACCCAAGGUAAGUAAUUAAGUAGUACUAGCUAGCUAGCUACCAUCUCUUUAAUUCUUGAUUCAAUACCAUUAAUUAAUUAACAUGCUUGAUUAAUAAUUAUCUGAUUAAAUUCUAUUCUCGUAAAGGCCCUGAAGCAGGCGCCGGGGACUGAAGUGUGUGCAUACUACGUUUGCGAGAACAUUCGCAUGAUGGCGUCCGAAAGGAGCAGAUCUGAUAGACAGGACUGGGUACGUUUGCCAGAACACUAUUCACAAAUCUUACAUGAUUGCCGAUAUCUAGUCACACAACUAGUACACAUGCAUAUUGAUCUCCUUCUUAACAGUUCAAAGAUGUGCGGGACCAGCUCCUAUCAACAGAGCGCAUAUGAGCACUCCAAGAGAAAAUAGCGGGAUUUUUGCUCGACCAGGUCAUAGAUCCCGAAGGGGAAUACUAUUACCCGCUACCGCCCCCAUGCAUCACUUGUCAUCGUGCUCCGAAGGCACCAAGGCAACAUGUAGGAGAAAUUGUAUAUAUAUACAUGUGUAUGUGUGAAUAAUUAAUGAUGGUUGUGAGACAUUAGAUUAUAUAUAUAUAAGCACUUCAAGAGAAAAUCUAUUUAUAUAUGAUCGGUUCUACGAGAAAAUCUAUUUAUAUAUAUGCAUAACGUGUACAAUAUGUAGUAUCUAAAAUACCAGCAAACAAAAAAGAAUUAAAUGGAAAACACAAAAUUAAUGGAAAAAUAAAAAUUAAAACCAAAACCCCCCCAAACAUUUAGUACCGGUUGGUGCUACCAACCGGUACUAAUGGUCUACCAGCACCCGGGCCUGGCUCGUGUCACGUGGUGGCACUUUAGCGCCGGUUCNNNNNNNNNNNNNNNNNNNNNNNNNNNNNNNNNNNNNNNNNNNNNNNNNNNNNNNNNNNNNNNNNNNNNNNNNNNNNNNNNNNNNNNNNNNNNNNNNNNNNNNNNNNNNNNNNNNNNNNNNNNNNNNNNNNNNNNNNNNNNNNNNNNNNNNNNNNNNNNNNNNNNNNNNNNNNNNNNNNNNNNNNNNNNNNNNNNNNNNNNNNGAACCGGCGCUAAAGCCCGGUUCUGCACUAGUGAGAAUGGGCUUCAGGGACAUUCAUUGUUUUAACUUUGCUCUGUUGGCAAAACAAGCAUGGCGGUUGUUGGAUGAUCCAGACUCUUUAUGUGCAACAAUUUUACGAGCAAAAUACUAUCCAGAUGGAGAUCUUCUAAAUGCGCCACUAAAAAGAAAUCAUCAUAUACAUGGCAAAGUAUUAUGGAGGGUGUCAAAACGCUGAAACUUGGACAUAUAUGGCGUAUUGGAGAUGGUCAGAAAGUGAAUAUAUGGGUUGAUGAAUGGAUACCCCAAUCAGCUACCAGGCGUCCGGUUACUGUGCGGGGAACUCAACUACUGUCAAAGGUUUCUGAAUUAAUUGACCCGAUUACAGGACACUGGGAUGCUGACCUUGUAAAGCAAACUUUCUGGCCAGUGGAUGUACACCGUAUUCUGAAUAUUCCUUUGCCUUCCUUUGGUAUGGCUGAUUUUGUUGCCUGGCACCCAUCCAAACAAGGCAGAUUCUCAGUGAAGUCUGCCUACAUGAAAGUAUGGAAAAAUAAGUAUGUAACCAAAUUUCCUAUUGGAAAUAUGUCAAGUUCUGCUGCCUCAAACCCAAUAUGGGAGUUCAUCUGCAAACUGCCCUGUCCAUCAAAAGUUAGGAUUUUUCUCUGGCGAACCUUGCACGGUACGCUCCCCUGCCGAGUUACCCUAGCGGACAGACAUAUGAAAAUCACUACGAAAUGUCCUGCUUGUGACGGUCCGGAGAGUGUGAAGCACAUGUUAUUUCAAUGUGGCAAGGCAAAGCAAGUUUGGAAGAGGCUGGGAUUAGAGACUGUUAUGAUCAUGGAUGCGCGAUUGAUCCGGCUGGAGAAGCAGUACUCGAAUACCUUCUGUCACUCCCUGCAAAUGAGGCUGCAGUCUUAGGUCAUGGGAAUGGUGUUGUGAUCAUAGCUGUUGCAUGUUGGUAUCUGUGUUGGCCUGGUGGGAGAGGAGAAAAUUGGUCCACGGAGAAACAGUACAACAACCGGCACAAAUUGUCUUAUCAAUUUUGUCUCUAGCUGAAAAUUUUACUGCUGCUGCAGCUAGUUCGGCUAAAGUAAAAAGGAAUCCAUGGUCCAGACCACCUUCAGGAUAUAUCAAGCUGAAUGUGGACGCUUCGUAUGAUGUUGAUUCGCUUCAGGGAACAGUAGGAGCUGUCCUGCGUGAUAGUUCUGGGAAGUUUUUGGCAGCAGGUAAUAACAGAGCUGGCGAUUGCAUGGACGUUUUCAUGGCAGAGGCCCUAGCUCUUCGCUUUGGGAUGCACUUGGCAAGCUCUGUCGGAUGCACAAGAGUGAUCGUCAACUCUGAUAGCAUGGAUGUUAUAACAGCAAAAGAUGGUGGUAUUACUUCAGGUUCGUCAGCUGCUAUUUUGGACGACUGUUUUCACAUGGCGAGGGAUUUUACUCAUGUUCGGUUUGAACAUUGUCAUAGAGAAGCAAACUCUGUUGCAGAUGAACUAGCUAGGCUUUGUAAAUUCUCUCUCCCCAACUCUUGGUUUGAUGAUGCUCCUAUUGCCAUCAUGCCCCUCCUUGUAAAAGACGAUGUGUUGAUCGCGAACUAAUAAAGGGGUGAUGAUAUGUUCAAAAAAACUAUUGGACAAAAUUGUAUCUUGAGGUUCUUGUAGAUCUAAAAUGCACAUCUCCAUCUCCUGCAUCGGAUACCAUGAGUGUUAAUUAAAUGAUGGAGAUCCGUUCUUUUGGUUUUCAUGCAAAUCCUUCCCCCCGGCUAUGUACUCAUUAAUUUAUGAAGAUCAGAGUUUGUUGCAUGAUUGCAAUGUAUCCCCUGCAGAUACCCCCCGCAUUAAUUCACCGCCCAAACGAUAUCCGUACGUCAAUAUAUAAUGGUGUUGCAAUCGGCAGCCAUGGCAACCAGAAACAUAACAUGGAGAUAACCUCCUCCACCGUGCUGCUGCUUGUUGCCGGCGUGCUAGUUCAUGUCCUGCCUACGAUGUGCACGGCGGUCCGUGGCUUCAGCCUCCCGCUGGUCGCCAACCACGGCGGGGGCAGGUACCGUGUGGACGCCGACGGCUUCAUGGUCGUGAACACCACGAGCUUCCACCACCGUCCUUCCCUGACGGCCCCCCUGAGGUACACGUAUGGCGUGGCCGUGAAUAUUGGCACGGGCCGCGGCAAGAGUACCCAUUUCCUCGUGCUGGACACGGCCAACAGCCUGCCGUGGAUGCGGUGCGCCCACUGCUUGCCGGUGCAACGACAACGUGGCCCGGUGUUCGACCCUAGCCACUCAAGCAGCUACCACCCCCUCCAUCCGACGAGCCCCCUGUGCCGGCCGCCCAACCGCGUCCACCCCGCUGGCGACAAGUGCUCUUUCCACCUCCCACAGGAGGCACACGGCUUCGUCGGCGUCGACACCAUCAUCCUGGGUAAUCCGACUUUGCCUAUCCAUGGCAUCGCCUUCGGGUGCGCGCAGGCCACCGAGGGGUUCGACACCAAAGGCACUUUCGCAGGUACACUGGGCAUGGGCAGGCUGCCUACCUCCCUCAUCAUGCAGAUCAAGGACCGUGUCGCCUGGCGCUUCUCCUACUGUUUGAUCGGCCCAGGUCACAGCCAGGACCGACACGGCUUCAUCCGCUUCGGCGCCGACAUCCCGGAGCCCUCGCC
rnacentral:lncRNA from 1 species